rnacentral:lncRNA from 1 species
UGGUAUUAUCCCAAACAGAGUUACUUGUACAUUACUGUACAUGCUCUUUGUAAGAAAGGUCUGCUGGAGGAUUCAAGAAAGCUUCUUAUGGAAAUAUUAGGUGACACUCACCGUAAGGACACAUCGAAUUUGAUAACAUCGACUAUAUUAAUGGGUGGGUCCUUUAACAAUGGACAUAUAAAUCAGGCUCUCACUUAUUUGGAUGGCAUUUUUUGCAGGAGUCUCCCAGUUGAUGCUGUUGCCUACAAUGUUGUCAUUCAUGGAUUCUGUUUGAUCAGAGAUAUAUCCAUUGCUUAUAAAUAUGUCUGCAAAAUGUUUACGUGUGGUUUUCUUCCUGAUAUAUUUUCUUCCAAUACUCUUAUUGGUGCUUUCUGUAAGGAAGGAUGGACCACUGAGGCUUGUUAUAUCUACAAUAUUAUGUCCAAAAUGGGUGUUUGUCCUGAUCAAAUCUCUUACAAGAUGAUUAUACAAGGGCUAUGUUUUCAUGACGAUGCAACAAAAGCUAAUCUGUUUCUUCAUGCUAUGUUAGAUAACUCAUUUUGCCUGAACCUCUCAUUUGGAAUGUCAUAAUUGAUGGUUAUGGGAGGUGUGGUAAUAUGCAAAAGGCAUUAUACAUCAGGAAUCAAAUGAUUGCCUUUGGAUUAAUGCCAAACACAUUUACUUAUAAUGCCUUGAUCCAUGCACAGAUAAAAAGUGGAAAUAUCAUUGAGGCACUUUCUUUGAAGAAGGAGAUGCUUCUAGAUGGUUAUUUUCCAGGCUUAAUUACGUACAUUCUCUUGUUGGGUGCCUCUUGCAUUCUUGGUAACAUUCAUUCAGUGCUGCAGCUAUAUGAUGAAAUAAUAAGAGGAGGUUAUUACCCAGACACAAUAACAUACACUGAGCCAAUUAAGUUUUGCUGUACACAAGGUUAUACAGAGAAGGCAGAAGAACUCUUGGAAAAGUUACAGGCUUUGGAUUUACAGGUUUUGGAUUUACAGGUUGACCAUGUUCCAUAUCUGAUACUCAUGAAAAAGUAUUGCAAGAUGAUGGAGCUAGACAAAGCAUUUGAACUUUAUCAGAAGUGGUUAUUCAGAAAGAGUUGAGAAUACCUUUAGUAUUGAUCAAUUGGUACUCUGGGCUGCAAAAAUUUUUCUGAUCAAUACAGCUCCCUGCUGGCAGUACACUUCAUGCAUUACAUUAAUUCAUUAUCUGUUCAAAGGAAGGAUGGUUGACAUCUUCUGCAAGUUGAUGAUCUCCACUUGAAGGUUUGUACUUUGUGACCUCUCCUUAUAUUUCUGAUAUUUAAGAUACCUCCUCUUCCAUAAUCUUUCAUUGUAGUGCAUUUGCACUUGAUUUUCUCAUAAAAUUUGAUAAGUUUUUAGUUGUAUUGUUGACUGAGUAUAAAUUAUUAUUGGUUUCUUUUGGACUCAUAAAAUAACUUUGAUUGCAGCUUCUGAAUUUCAAGUUCCUUGACUCAUAUGCUUGCUUCUUAUAGAAGUUGAAAGUUACUAUAAACUGAUUUUCUGUUAUUUCAUCUUCCAAUAAAAUAUAGUAACUGAUUUUCUGUUAUUUCAUCUUCCAAUAAAAUAUACAUAAAAUAAAAAAUUAAAUCAUAGGCCCCUUCGGUUUUCUAAAUGAGGUCAAAAUGCCAUCGCUAACAUAUUUUUGUGUGGAAUUCUGUUUGAAUUCCAAAUUUCCAAAGUUAUAACUUCAAUAUUUAGUGCUUCAAAGGUGUGGCACUAUGACAAAAUUUGUUAAUCGAAAUAACAUUUGCUGUUUCAAAUAGUUGAAGUUUGUUUUUGACAUGAAGAAAUAGUUUUUUCCAUGAACACAAGUGAAAAAUAAACCAAAACAGAAGAAAUUUCUUUCAACUGAAAAAGAAAUUCAUUCAAGUACAGAUAAUGUCUUUGAUGAGUAUAAUGGCACUUAGUGGAAUUAGAAAAUUGGUUGCCAACUUGGAGUUACUGAUGCAAAAUCUUUCUGAUGUGGAAGAUCAUUAUUGGUUUAGUCCAUCAGUUUCAAUGCACAACAGAAAUAUGGAUAUUUGUUGAAUAGAAUUUACCAUGAGUAUGAUUGAGUUAUUCUUUUGAAGUCAGCCAACAGAGCUAUUUGUGAAUUUUGUCUUUAAAUGGGUUAAGGCUGGAAUUUAAUGGAAUUAGAAAUCAGUUGCUGACUUAGAGUUAUUGGUGUAAAAUCUUUCUGAUGCCGAAGAUCAUUGUUGGCUUAGUUCAUAAGUUGCCAUUUGGAAUAUAUAUUAUCAAUGUUAUUGAACAAUAUACAUUAUUGAUAGAAGGCAUUUACUCAUUUUAAAUCAAAGAAUCAGAUCCUAUCAACUGGUAAUGUUUUAGGUACUAAUAGGAGAUAGGGUUAGACAUACCUAGACUACUUUGGUCCUUGAAUUGUCAGAAUGUAAUUGUGGACUUUUUAGUUGCCUUCAGGCAUUGUAUGAAGCUAAUCGGAGAGACUAGCAGUUCUGUAUUGCACCUUUGUGUGAUUUCUCCAUGUGGUCCAGUAGUGUUUAAUCUGGAUUUUCUUGACCACUUUUCUAUUUGUAUUGGUGAAGUUGGAGGUGUAGGAUUCUGAAGAUUUUGUUUUUGAUGUAAAUAAUGAUAUAUUGUGAUAAUUUCUUGCAAAAUAUUGCACAAGAAAGUAAUUGAUUUAGUAAAGAAUGCAUUUUUUGCAGUUUUUCUUGUCAUGAAUUUGAAGUCAGAUACUUCAUUUACAUAAAUUGAAUAUUUUUUAAUAAUUUCCACCAUUGCAGAUAGAGGUUCAAUUAUAAACCAGUAAUAAAUGGGCUGAAUGACAAAAUGGAUGGGAAAGUUAUAGUGCGAGAACUAAUAUUUAAUCAUUAAAGGCUUUUACUAUCCAUCCAUUUUGCUUCUUUUUUCUUCCUUGCUCCCCUUCAUAUUUAGCUACCUUAGCAGAUGAAAUAUCUCCUAUCCCCCUCCUAUCUUUUUGUUACGGCUUAUUUGGUGUAACUUCCUCUUGUAAAUUAAUGUUAUUCCACAAAACCAUUUCUAAAUUAGUUUUCAAAUUAUCCACAUCCUCUUUAUUCUCCCCAUAACCUCCAAUAGAACAAACUCCUUCGAGGAAGGAAAAGAAUUUCCUGUCAAAAAAAAAAUGAACAUUUCACAUCUAUUUUAUUGAUUAAGGGUUCACACAGAGUUUGUCAGUACCAUAGUUGGAAUUUAGUACCCAGUUUCUUUUGAUGCAUCUGUCAGUCCAUUGACUUGCGUUACAUAUAUAGCUUUUUGAACAUAUUCUAGAUAGCUAGACAUUUUUGUUCAUGGAUCCAAAUAUGCACACUCUUCAAAGACAAUUAGUCUUCCAGUUUUUCUUUGGGCGUCUGAGUUGCUAAUUAAAGAUGAACUAGAGCUGAAACCUGUAAUUAACUCAUUUUCAUCUGAGAAUAAGUGAAAUUUGUACGGGAUGGUGGAUGAGAUUAAAGCAAAGAAAUGUAGAAGCAAUCACAUGUCAAUUAGUAAAGAAAAAUGAGAUAUGGUUUUCAUUGAUCAGGUGUUUUGAUACCAAUUAUAUGCUUAUCCUUCCUAAGGAUUUUGAUUGAUUAAUCAAAAGUUGAUGGAUUGAAUUAGCUGAACUGCACCGAUUCAAAACAAAGUGGAUUCUCAGACAAUGAUAAGUCGUAAAGAACCAAUGGUUAACCAGGUUAUGUAUACUAUUUGUAUCACAUCUACUAGAUUUACUUUAUCUUUUGUUCAUGGAUGAUUAACAAGACAGCAAUAACAUUGUUGGUAAUCGUGCUAGCCACCAUGUGAUUGUGGGUUAAAAGUGAAGCCAUCCUUUGUGUAAUUUUCUCGUUUGCUUGUGUACCCAUUACAUUUGUGCUAACCAACCUUGUAAACCACUGGUGAAUGGAUAUUGAAAACUUAUUUAUGAGAUCUUCCAUAUGAUUGAGCUGCUCAGGUUCUUUAUAUUCUAUUUUCUGCAGAUAUGCCCCCCCUCCCCCCCCCCAAAAAAAGCCCUUUAGAAGUUGUGUAUAAAUUAGCUGGUGCCUGUGGUAUAUGGUUGGAUGCCCUUUUCAUGGAGUUACUUUGGUUAUUUAUCAUGAUUUCCUCAUAGUUCUUGCUCGGUCUUAAGAUGUCAUUGACUCUGGCACAGUGUCCUAGUCAUUGAAAAUUUGCUGAAUUUGGCUUCAUAGCUACAGCUUUGUAGUUUUUGGUGGCUGUGUUGGAUGGCAAUUUCCCACUAGUGGGACAUUGAUAUUGUAACUAGAUUUAAUUCCCUAAGAAGUAUUGUCAUAUUACUAUCAUGUCAUCAUCAUCUUGAGGCACUUGUCAUUUGUUCUUGGGAAGUUGUUGUAUCUGUCUUUGGCACCUAGACAGCCUGUGGCUCUCUCGCUCAAUGAUGCAGGAAAAAUUUUAAAUGUGGCAAUAGGAAAUAAUCCUCACACGAGAUAAUUCUUUGGUCCUUUUAGGUUAAGUUUCCAUUUUCCCUUAUAUUUCAGUUGUUCCUUGAGGGUGUUAUUAUUAUUUUUUUUUUCACAUUUUCAUAUCUAUUUAGCUUUAGUUGCCUUUAGCAUGCUUAAUUAUCUCUCUGUACUCUUUAGUGCUAAUGUUGUUUUCCCGGGCAGCUAUAUUGUUAACAGCAGGCAGAGUGCAGUUAGAUAGUGAAUCAGUAAACUCAGAUAAUUUCUGUUGAUAUUUUGAGUCUCUAUACAAGCAGUUUCAUGCUUGCAUCUGUUAUAGCUUCUUACAUUUUAUCAUGGAAAAAAUCGUUGCUUAAUUGUGGAAUGGCUGUAUUUUCAUACUCAGGCAGCCUGACUUUCACCUUUAGACUAUAGUCCCUGGGAGAAGCUGACCAGGAAACACAUGCCACGUUUGAUUAAAGGAGACUAUUGAUGGCCUUAGGUGUUGUUCUGUCAACCAUCUUUUUAGAAUUUUAUGGUAGACUGUCUUUUCACUAUUAAUAGCAAUCUUCCCCUUUUCUUUCUCUUUUGGAGCUAUUAUCUCAAUUUGUAUGUCUUUGCUGACGUUUGUAGGAACGUACAGAGAUUUCAUUAUACAGAUUCAAACUUUGCCAGUUGUCCUCGAGCUCAAGGAGGUAAUCCAUCCAGGGCUGUGAAUCUCCUUUUCAGCAACACCAGCUUUACGGUUGUAUAUAUAUCUCUUGGUUUCACUGGAAUGUAUAAUUACCUGAGUUUACGUUCUUCUGUCUCUGUGUUUUAUUACUCAAUAAGGAAAUGUCAUGGAGCCAUUUAUGUUGUGCAUGAAUAUGCAAGGUGGUGCACCACAUUGAUCUUUUUAGUUUAUCAAGAAUAAACUUAAUUGUACUAAUUAUGGGUAGGAAGGAAAACUUUUAUAAAGCAAUUUUUCUUUGUUAGUGGUUUAUACCGUCCACUUACCAGGAGAGAUCAUUUUGGAAGUUGCAUUAAGAUUUAAGUUUUCAUGGCUUACCUGGGGCAUCACUAGGAUUUUGAUCCAUGUAAAGAUGUAGGAUUAGUUUGCAUACAUUUAUGUUAUAAUCCACUGUUGCAAUCAUCAAAAUGCCAAGGGUUUGGAGUUGCACUCAGACGUAGCUCAACAAAAAUGUAUGGAUUGUUCUAACAUCAAUUGUUUCAAGUCUGAUCUACUAAGAUCUGAAACUUAUUGGUUGCAGUUAAUGAAUUUCAUUCCAUUUGGUCAAGAAUAUAAUAGGGACGGUGACUGUCAGGCACUCAUCCUUUCAGGCUCAUGGAAGCCUGAACUUAGUCGGACGCUUGUCUACCUAAGCCCCUCCUGAAUCCCAUUGUGUGUAUAAUCACCACCAAAUUAGCUCAGCUUAGUGGCUACGUCUAGCAACCUGCCAAUUUUCCUGCUCAAGCAAAGUGUCUAGCAAACCUGCUGAUUUUCAUUAUGCUAAUGCACAAUUUUUACAGUCUUAUUGUUAGAAUAAGAAUGGUUGGUUUUGGUUGAAAUGUGACAUACUAUAUCAUUUGGGAGACAUAAGGACAUAAACAAAAACAAUGAAUUCAACUUUGCAACUAAUACACUGGCAGAAUUAGUUCCCUGUGCAUGCUUAUGCGAUGCAUCAGUAGAAGAAAAGUUCCUAACAUUGUACUGAAGAUUCUUUAGGAGUAGACAGCAACUAUGGGGAUUUUUUGUCUGUAAUAUAUGCUGAACAAAAGAAAGUUGUUAAAUUCUUGAAAGAUGGCGAGUUGUUCUAGUUCAUAAAAAGUUUGAGUUGUGAUAGAAUAAUGGUAUCUGCUGUUAAGUAUCUAGUGCAUGAAAAGCUGACUUGUAGCUGAAAAGGAAGGAAUCAGAUACUAGUAGUUUUAUCGCCGAAGGCAUCCUAAAGCCUGUUGUGUGCUGAAAAUAUGUUAUUUCAAUGGAUCUAGUUGUGAUGGGGAUCAUACUAGGACUUACACUUUCAUCAUAAAUUCUUCCUUUCCUUUAAUAUACAUGGUUGCUUGAGCUAUUAGAGUGGUAGUUUGUGGUAUUUGUUAUCAGUCGGAGCUUGAGAAUUUUAUGCUUCUUUUUUCCCAAUGUAAUUUUAGAUACUGCUACCUUCAAAAUUUGAAUGUUCUAUCAGGCAUGCUUCAAAGAUCUCCUGUCUGAUUACCUUACUCAUGGUUUUACAGGAGGAAAUCUCUUUUUGAGCAUCUUUGUAAUGUUGAUUGCACAGAUAUUGUUCAGGUAACUUACCUUAACCAGGCACUUAUCCCUCACCAGUACUAUUGUUUUGCUGGUCAUCGUAUCUGCUGAUUUGGAUUUUGGAACAUAUCAGAUUUUGGCUUAAUUUUGCAGGUUUGGCCUAGUUCUUCCAAUAUGUCUGUGGCGUGCCUCAUGAAACUCAGUUUUACCUGUCAAGAGCAGUGGACAAUGGGUAUCACUGAUUGCUUGGCUGGUGGGGAUGAGUUGGUUUUAUGAAUUGCAUCUUAUUGUAUUCUACAUGUUAGAGAUCAAUCACCGCAAUUGCUUUUCACUGGGUCUGUACAUCCAUCAUAUUCGUGCUGCUUCUGCUACUGAAGCUGAUGAGCAUUCUUAACGUUUUUGGUGGUGAUUCGUGGUUAGGAUUUUACUGUGGCGGCAUGUACAGAGGAACUGACCAUUCCUUUUCUCAUAAAAAUUUAGUGCUCAUUCAACUGCAGGUAUUCUACAUGUCAUUAUGGUCAUCUAGUUCUUUAAUUGGUCUCAUUAGUUCUUGGUCAGUAAUAUUUGUUUUUUUGCAUCUCUUGGAAAACGAAUCACUUGGGAUUUUGCAGUUGUUAUUGCAUGUUAACAUGGUGUUAUAAAAUCUGUUGUAUUAUUUCAGACCUUUCUGCACACUCUGUUUGCAUAUGUUGUAUAAUCUCCAUAUUGCGAUGCGUUGUUGUAUAUUUUCUGCCGUGCCUGAUACUACUAGGUGUUUUGUUCAAGGUAGCUGAAGACCGCGGCAAAAUCAGAAAAUAUGCCUAAGAAAUUCCCUGCUUGCAAGAUAAGGAUACCAAGGUUCACAUUUGAUUCUUUGCCGUUGGUCAUCGUCCUUUACAUCAUCCCAAAUUUCAUCUAAUGAACCAUUCGCAGAAAGCUUGAUAGCGAACCUCCUCAACAAAAUGUAUUAGAUGGAGAUGUAAGGGCGGUAUAAGAUAAAUUUGAGAAUCUGUCAUGAAGCUGUUGAUAGAUAUUCGAUUGCCGAAGUUCUCCGUUAUUGUAGGUCAAUUUUGUUGGUCGUGACUUACUGCCUUUUUAUGUUAAAUUUGGAGCGGGCACCUUGGGAUAUUGAGGAUUAUUGGUCUUGCCAACCAUUUGGCUGGAAGUUAAGUGGGAGAAAAUACUUUUGCUUAGAUAUGCAUGGACAAUUUCAUUCAUUGUGAACCCUCUAUGCUUUCAUUGAUUUUCAUUUUUCUAUUUUGGACAAUUUACCCCAUAAAAUUAGGAAAAGAUUUCAUACUACUGAAAUUGGUCAAAUUAAGUGUGGAUGUGCAAUGAUAUAUGAAUCAGCUUUUUUUUUUUUUUUUUUUUUUUUUGCGUAUUCUUAAUGAUUGGUGUCAAAUAUUGAAUUGAGAAGGAAGAUUAGCUUGGUGUAAUAGGAGGAUGCCAUUCAUAAUUUCAUAUGGUUUAAUUGAGGUCUUUAUUAAUUGUAGUUUGACUGUCCAUAAUGAAAGGUUAUAUUGCAUGGCGUUGAUAAUUGAUACUUUAGAGAAUAACUAAAGGUGCAAAUUGAGCAUUUUCGUGUUGCAAUCUAGAAGUAGAUGAAUAUAUUUUGUCAUAAAGGUUUUGAAACUGAAGAGAAUAGAUAUACGAACGUGUAAUAAUGCACAAGUUAAGAGUACCACUUCAAUUUAUUGUCUUUAGCGAAAUAUCCUGAAUUUUGUUGGAUUGAGUACGAGGCAUGAGCGUACUAAUGAUCUGGUUUGCUCACGAAUGAGAUUUUUACUUCGGCUUAUCCCCCCAAUUCUGGACUCAAAGGGGACAAGGUUUAGGACACUUGGAUACGGCGGUGGUUUUGCUGCCAACCUUUUUGACAAGAAAUCUCCACUUUUAAGUUCUCUCGGAAGCCUUUAUGGUAGGAACGCUUUGACCGUGCCUAUGGUAGGAAGGGCUGUAGAGAUCGACACGUGUUAGAGUUGAAUGGAGUCGAAACGGAGACGUUAAGUUGUGACAGAGCGCAUGGAGAGAAAAGAUGUAUGCACUGUCUGCGGCUACAACCAAAAAAUCACACGGACUUCUGUACGAUGUUGUAGGUUGGGCCAGGAAGGAUAAUUGCGGGUUAGAACCAGAGGCAUUUAUGCAUUUGCAAAUGUACCCAUAACCAAUGAAAAAAUGCUGCAUAUGCCUUCGACAAAAAAUGUGCAUAAAGAAGGUACCAAAAUUUUAACAAAUAAUAAAUGUAAAUCUCACACGUGUGGGGAAUAAUAAUUUGUAAGAAGGAAAAGUGGGGCAGAGUUAGUAUAACAAAAUUAGUAUAGUUGGGAAUUUUUUUUUCCUCUGCAGAUUGUUCACAAAUAUAAGAGUCAACCGCUAAACAAAAAUGUCAUGCAUAUCUAAUCUAUAACUACAUAUAAAUUAAAUUUAGUUCAUGUACAAAAUGAUCCUAAAAUAAUUAGCACACCACAAUACCCUAUUCUUUUAACAACAAAAAAUACUUUUUGGCAAAAGUCUUCAAUAUACAUGAUAUAUGUAUGAGAGGUAUUUUACCAUAUUUUAAUCUCUUGUUUUCCCAUAUUGUUAUCUCAUGUGUAAUCAUUGAUGUUAAUUUCGGGAAGAAUAUUUUUUUAUAAUAAAAUUAGUUCGAAUGUAAUUAACAAGUUGAGAUUUUUUUGGAAAAAAUAUUUGUGAAAUAUUUUGGAAGUUAUAUUUUAUUUUCCCAAAAAUAAAAGAUUGCUAUUUUGUUUACCAAUUGUUGCCAUUAACAUUUCAGUUUGUAGACUAAUUUUUAUGAAUGUAGAAUUAGUUUAGUUAACAAAAAUUGAAGUUGUGUUGGUUCGAGGAUUGGCAUGCUAUUGUUGUUAUUUUACAUGUGAAAAUAUAACCUAAAUAAUGAAAUAAAUAAUAGCUAUUUAAAAAAAAAAAGGAAUCAGGUGCUCAAUUGAUUGCAUUCAAACUACGAUUUCUGUUACUGCAUAAUUGCUAAAUUAUAUUCGUAUUCAUAAGCAAUCAAUAUGCAUCAUAUAUUGACCAGGAGUAAAUUACUGAUUACUUAACAAAUCGUAUCUAAACACAUGAUGUGAUAUACAUUGCAUUUGGUUACCGUAAUACUCAUACCAUUUGCCUUUCUUUCCAUCUAUGUUAUAAAACUGCAAAAUUCCCUUGAUUAUAUUAGUGAAAAUGCAUAAAAUCUUUUUACAAAAGUAGAAUCAAUUUAUUUACAAAAUAUUAAUACUUUUAGGAGAAGCAAUGCAUUGUAGGAAUGGUUUACUAGUUAUUAAGUAAACAUAACUACUACAUUAAAAAGUUCCAAAAAAAGUUGAGUAAUUAUAAUUUAUUUACGAGUGCUUUCGAAUGGAAGUAUUAGGGGAUUAAUUUCUUUGAUUCAAUAAUUUUUAGAGAUUGUAAUUAUGAAAAGAAGAAAGAAUUUUUUGAGAUUCUAACUUAUUAUUAAUAUAUGUAAUAAAUUUGAUAUUUGUGCAAGUUUUCAUGUCUUUUAUUUUCGGCAACGAAAUUUGUGCAAAUAUGGUAAAACAUCCCUCAUAUGCAUGUCAUGGAUAUUUGAGACUUUGAAUAACAAAAAGUGUUGUUGUUAAAAUAACAUUGUAUCAUAGUGCGCUAAUUAUUUUUGGACCAUUGUAUACAUGAACUGAAUUUAAUUUAAAUUAUACAAAAGAUUUGUAUGUGCAAGUGAUUUUCAUUUAAUUGUUGGAUCUUUUUUUAUGAACAAUCUGCCAAGGAAAAAAGUCCAGAUCAUACUGAUUUUAUUAUAUUAAGUAUUAUACCAAUUUUGUCAUUUUGUUAUUGUUGUACUAUUUCUUACAUUGUUUGGGCUUUAACUCUUAUUAAUUCUUGUGUCAGAUGUAAAUUUAUUAAAAUUUUAUCAUCUUAGUAUAUUCGUAGGUGUUAAAAUAUAAAAAUUGUGAUAUAUAAAUAAGUGAUAUUCUAUACAUAAGUAUGAAGAUUUUUGUUAUUGGUAUUCAAACCUUCAAAUUUUUUAAAAAUAAAAAAUUAUUAAAAACUUAUAAUGUGACAAAAUGUUAAUAAUUUUUGUCCAAGGUUAUGAACAAAGUGAAACUUCUUUUCAUAGUAUUUAAAAAAAAUACAAAAAAAUUUAAUUAAUAUCUAUAAUCAUUUAUUAUAUAGAUAUAUUAGAGUACUUACUAAGUAAGGUACUUGCAGCCUUAAUGACUAAUAAAACCUGUUAUCAUUAUUUAAAAUAAACUUCAUAAUAUUAGUUUGACAACAGUUUUUUAUGUAAAACUGUACAUGUAUUACAAAAAUCUGUAAGUGUUAAUCGUUAAUAAAAUUUACCAUGUUACUGCUAAGAUUUAGUAUCAAUGAAUAAAAACUUAAUGUUAGUUGAAGUAAACUUACUCUCCAAAAUAGUGUGAAUUUACCGAAACCGACUAACAACCAUUAGUAAUUAAAUUUGGUUGCUAAAAAUAGUUUUUGUGAUCGGUCAAAAAUUGUGGGGCAUGAAAUUUAUUUUGAUUGUUAACAUGCAAUGAAAAGGCGAACUACUAAGCGUAACAGGUGGUGUUAAACUAAGUCGGUCAACCCAAAUUUGCAAGCUAUUCAAACCAACAACGGCGGUCAAAUGAAAUAUUGGCCUUGUUAUUGACCAUUGAUAUAGAUAUGGUUACAAUUCUAAUUUUGACACAAUUUCUGUAUAUUGAGAGAUAGAAGUUAAGUUAAGGGAAUUAUACUGUGUUUGGGUAGAAUAAAAUUGUUCGUAAGUUGUUUAAACUUAUAAUAACAAUUACAAGUUUAAUAAAACUUGUAUUUGACUUGUCAACAGGUUAGAAAAUUGUGGGAGUUAUGAUAAAAGUUUUGCAGUGAAUAAUAAUAAAACAGGUAAAUGUAUUCUUCAAAUAAAAUAAACAAGAAAAAAAUUGUUAAAAAUUAUACUGCAGGAGUGAUUUAGUGAAUAACAAAUUUUGAAGAAAGGAGAGGCGAAAAAAGAAGCGCCACAACUAAUUUGGAAAACAAAGGCCAAAAUAAAGCUAUUGGCCUCUGGGCUCUGUAACUUGUUUACUGUCAGUCUAACCCAAAACACGAUUGAACUGGAAAAAAAAAUUGCGUAUCGCUUCACCGUCAUUUGUUGUGAAUCUCCAACAAAGUCAGCCGAGGUACAGUGACAGUCCGGUGUUGAAAAUCAGUUGUCUUCUUCAACUGUGCAACAAAGGUUCGUUGGUUCUUUCUCGUAUUUUUCGGAAAUUUACUUUGUUAUUAAUUUUGUGAAAAUGUGAAUGUAAGCGGUGUGCAGAGAACGUGGUAUUGGAAGUAUGUCAUAUUCCCCUCUCUGUCGCGGGUUCUUCGGAGGGAAGGCAGCAGUGGAGAGUAUCAAUUCAGAAAGCGUAUUGGUAUGUCUUUAUGUUGGGAUUCCCUUUAUGUUCGGAUAUGUUCUGUGUCAGAUCUCAUCAUGAAAACGCAAGAACAACACUGUAAGGAUGAACCUGUCUGUUCUGUAACCUACAUUGAUUGUCAGAGAGGGAAUCUUUACCCCAUUUUGAUGGGAUUAUCAUGUAAUGACAUUUUUCUGCAAUAACAUUGUGUAUAUCAGAAAAUUGUUCGUUACCUAUGAUGGCAUUGAAUGAUUACCUUUAUUCCUUAUUUUAGGUUUGUAAGCUCAUUUGCCGUCAUUCAGUCGUAUGAUUCAAUCCCCUCUUCGUCGCGGGUUCUUUAGAGGGAAGGCAGCAGUGGAGAGUGUCAAUUCAGAAAGCGUAUUCGUAAGUUUUUAUUAUCUCAUAUAUUGUGUGUUAGAUCUCAUCUUGCAAAUGCAAGACCAAGACUGUAAGGAUGAACCUUUGUUUUCUUUAACCUACAUUGAUUGUCAGUGAGGGAAUUUUUGGGCCAUUUUGAGGGGAUUAUCAUGUAAUGACAUUUACCUUCAAUAACAUUGUGUGGAUCAGAUAAUGUUCGUAACCUGUGAUGGCACUAAAUGAUUACAUGUAUUGCUUAUUUUAGGUUUGUAAACUCAUUUUGCAUCAUUCAUUCGUGGGGUUCAAUUCUAAUGUUUGGUGGAGAGAAUUUAGAAAGGAACAAAGUUCAUUAUGCCUGCAUAGCACAAUUAGCAAUAAAACAUGGCUGCACUCCCUCACAUGAUGGCUAUAUUUAUUGGUUUGUUAGUUGGCUAAUGAGGUAGAAUAAGCAUAUUCAACCGCCAAAUGAUUUGGCUAUUAAAUUCUUGUGAUAAUUGACAUACCAUGUACUUUGGGACGAUUAUCAGUUUGUAUACUUUAUCGAAACAUAGCCGCUAUUAAUGAAGCUGAAAUAGUAGUAGAUUUCGUCAUAUGCUCUGUAGGCGAAGAAAUAAUAAUGUUUACCUAUUCACACAAAGAUUCAGUUGCGUGACAGCCUCGGUUCUGUGGUUGACCUUGCUGGCUUCAUCCAGAAGGAUAUAGUAGUAGUGAAGGCUGAUAUGUUUUUCCAGUACCAAAGAUUGAAGAGUACUUGUAGUUUCGAUGCUCGAAAUUUGAAACUAUGUUAGUUAAGAGCUGCUGCAUAAGCGUGGCAUUAUAACUUGUUAAGACCAUGUUCGGUAUGAGCAUAGGCAGCCGGACAACUGCUUUGACAGUUCGCCUUACGUGCCUAGGGGUGAUUAGGUUUUGAAUGUUGUAGGGAAAAGUGUCAUGGAAUGUUUCGGAUAAAUUUUGGAGAGAAUUGUUACAUGGUAUACAGUAUGUUUGAAUGGUAGAUAACGUCCAGGUUACGAAUGCAAAUGGUGGAAGGAGAACCAUCGAGCAGCCGGUAUAUUGCCGGGCAUGCCGAAGUUGAAGACAAUGCUAAUAGAUUAAAAAUUGAAAAUUCAAUAACGUAUUACAGAACAGAAGGGAUAACAGGGCAGGGGGCUGUAGGGGAGCAUAUUGGUGAAAAUGUGGGAAAUUAAAACACUGCAUUUGAAGGUAUUGAUGAUAUAGAUGUAGAUAGCAUGAAGUUUGAAAGUAUUGAAGAGGCAGAAUCAUUCUAUAUGAUGUACGCAAAAGCAAUCGAUUUUGGGGUGCGAAAAAGGUGAAAGAGAAAAGAUAAGAAAGGGAUUGUCCGAAUCAGAUCAUGACUUUAUAAUAAGGAAGGCAAAAGACAUAAAAAACACCUUAACAGAGGCGAUCGAAUAAGAGAACCAAAAGCAAUAACAAGAGUGAACUGUGAAGCACGUUUGAAGAUUCGAUUAGAUGAGGCGAAAGAAAAGUACGUUGUUGUAGAAUUUGUUAGUACACAUUGCCAUCGUUUGUGCAACCCUGAAAGUGUGAGUUUCAUGAGGUCUCAUAGAAAGGUUGGGAAGUCGGACCUACAGCAGGUAGUAGUUAUGCAACAAGCAGGCAUAAGAACAAGUCACAUUAUGAGACUACUAGCUGUGCAGGUUAGAAGAUACCACACCUUGGGAUUCCAUGUCACUGUUAUGUACAAUGCGCUAAAUCGGCAGAGACAGCUAGCAGUUGGUCAUGAGGACAACGAUUCAUCAAUUGCAUUCUUGUCAGGCAAGUAAGGAGGUGAUCCCAAUUUAUUUUUCAAAUAUUCAGUAGAUGGCUAUGGCCGUCUCAAUCGCCUGCUUUGGGCUGAUUCAGUGUGUAGAGAUGACUAUGGAUGUUUUGAUGAUGUGCUAGUGUUCGACAGCACGUAUAAUACGAACCAGUACAAAUUUCCAUUGGUUGUGCUGUGUGAGGUUAACAAUUACUAUUCCACAUGUAUCUUUGCCUGUGUUUUGAUCGUUUGUGAAGGAGAUGAGGGAUAUGAUUAUAAGUACAUUCUUAAAAGCAAUGCAUGGGAGGAAACCGAUAGCAGUUGUGACUGAUGGGGACAAGUCAAUGCGAAAGUGCAUUAAAAAUUUAAUGCCAAUAGCUAAGCAUAGACUUUGCAGCUUCCAUUUGGAAAUGAAUGCAGCCACAAAUGUAAGGGAAAAAGAGUUCUUGGAGGCAUUCAAGACCUGCAUGUUUAUGAAUUGUAUAGCAGAAAAGUUUGAAACGAGGUGGGCAGAGGUUGUGAGACGUUUUGGGCUUAAAGAUAAUGAAUCGGUUAACAAGAUGUACCGGAAAAGGGAGCUGUGGGCUAUGGCUUUCCUCAGAGGCAACUUUUUGGCGAAAUGCAGAGUACCCAAUGGUGUGAAAAAAUGCAUUAAGUUUUAAAAUUACAUUUCACCUCGAAAUUGAAGUUUUUGAGUGUCUUCAAACAUAUGACUUGGUCGUGGCCUGUUUGCGACAUGAGGAGAGGCGUCAAAAGGAUGUGACAGAGUACAGUGCCCUUGUGCCAGCGCCACAUUUACAUGCACUGGAAAAACAUACUGGUGAAGUGUUUACGAGAUCCACAUUCGUUGUGGUACGGAAGGAAAUGAAGAAGCAGGGGCUAUUUUGUAGGAUUAAUGACACAGAUGAUGGAAUCACCGCUGUCCACUUCAUGAAAUAUUUGUACAAUUACUCGUAUCAUACUGUGGCCUAUAACAGGUCCACGGGACAUAUGAAGUGCUCCUACUUGAAAAUAGAAACACAUGGGCUGCCUUGUUGUCACAUGUUUCUUGCAAUACUAUUUGAGGAAUUGAAAAUGAUCCCUCCAAACUGCAUCAUGAAAAGGUGGACUUGGCAGGCAAAGGAAGGGGUAAUAAGUAAUGAGGCGGCUCAAACAACUAGCACGCACCUCACAGAGAUGUUCAGAUAUUCUACACUGGUUUCAGCCACUAAUGAUGUAUGUAGGCAUGCAUGCAAGACGGCUGACGGAUUCACAAAUGCAUUGGAACUAUUCCAGAACGAGUCAAUUCGAGCUAAAGAGCUGCAAUUGAAGAGGCAUAGAGGUAAGGGCUGUGCAGCUGUCCAGGGAAGUAAUGAAACUAUGGGUGAAAGGGAUUGGGUUAAGGACCCCGAAGUGAUUGCAUCACGGGACCUGCGUUGAGGGAAACCGAGGCAGACAGUAGUAUCAGUGAGGUAUUAUUGGAUCAUCUCAUGUAUAAUGUACUUCGGCACACAUUCGAACUGUGUAUACAUAAAUAGGCAUGCAUAACAUAUGUUACUUGCUAUGGAAUUGAAAAGGGUGGGUGUGGAGUUUAGUUCCAUUUGUUUUGUUACUAAUGCAGGGGAAGAGGAAGUGGGUCAAACACGUUAUUAAAGUGCAGACAACGAUGUUCAUCAUGCGAAUAGUAGUUGCACUGCUCAAUCUCGACAAAGCAAUACGGGGACGACAUCAGGUGGUCGAAUCAGUGUGCCUAAAAAACAAGAGCAGCAGGGACCAAUGGAGCCCAUUGUUAGGCGUCAAGUUGGAAUGGAUAUUAUCUGCAAUAUAUCGACUAUGGUCUGAAUAUAUCUCUCGCUACCUAUCUUGCUAAGUUUUUCGUACACAAAACCCAUGUUCACGCCCUCCUAAGUAAUACGUACAUCUUCUCGUCGAAUGCUAAUAUAGUUCGCAAGAUGCUGGCUUAUUUUGUUAAUCUUUGAAGUAAACUACUGCAAUGAACAUAACAUCACGAAAAUUGGUGUUACGCAUAAUUUGUAGAUAUUUGUGGCACUAAAUCACAGCGGUAAGGUAUUUGAAGGAUAGACAUUGUGUCCUUCAAAUAUUAGCCUAAAACAAAUAUGCCCCAAUGUGAGUGCAUGUGCUUAUAUGGCCCCUGCAACUGGUUGCAAAAUAUGAAUGUGGCAGGAACAAAUGGCAUAGGGUAAGAGAAAAAAAAGGAAUGGGUAAUUGCUAUAGUUACGUGUAUAAUGAGUUAUUCGUGUCGCAUGUCAAGGCGUUUUUGAACUGACCACCAUUAUUUGAAUUCGAUUAGGGUGGACCGGACAGUGUGGAUGGCUUUUUCGGAUACAUGCUGAAUUCACCACGCCUUCCUCGUAUCAGGUAUUCAUCAACAUUAUUAGGUUUUUUGCUUUUGGCGCAUGCAGUGGACAACAAAAGCAAUCUGUAAUUGUGUUCAAUACGAGGUAAUUUACAUCUGAAGUGGCCAUGUUAGGCAGGUUGAUCAACCACCAGCUGUACUUGUUGAUACCUUUGUAGCAGCAUCAACCGACAUUGCCGAUUGGUGAAGCAUAGACUGUGGGUAGAGUGAAUUAGCACUUGCUUUUGUGUGAUCCUGCAUAGUAAACUACUUUUUUGCGGUGGAAAAAUAGGUCGCUUGUUGUGUAAUGAGGUCCGAACUCGAUUGUACUUGUGUACUACUAUUUCUGCUGGGUCAUAUGUAACGUUCAAAGUGGAACUAUAUUGUUCCUACAUUUGCAAUUGGUUGCUAAGAAUUCAUGUGGUUUGUACUUUGGCUUCAUCAAAUUAUUGUUGAACGGGAUACAUGUUCAAGUGUCACAUUCAUGUGCGACCUAAAGAUUUUUCAGUUUGAUUUGUUUUGACAACUCAGUCACUAUACAAUUGCCAUCUGCAUUCACACCGCAAUUGGUUGCAUAUAAGCGAAACAAGUGACUACUGGUUUGCUUACAAGGGCCUGUGUUGCCCAAGUUUAACUGACAAGGGGUAAUUAACGAAUUUUGAGGGAGGGGUGGUGGAACCACCAAUGGGAAGUAAACUGCAGUGACGCAAACAGAGACACGCCUAAACUCGGUUGCAAUUGCCAAGUUCUGCACCUGGUCUUCCCAAUUUGGUAUGUGUUGACAAUACGUUCAACGAGUUGUGCAGGUACGGAUUGAACCCAUAAGAUUGGGUUUUAUGUGUAUUUGUCCAUGGGAAGAAAUUGUACACCACACAAACUAACUUACUGACUUCAUAUUUGAAAUAAACCUGAGUUCAGAAACACAAUAGUCGUGGCCCACAAAUGUAGUUUGGCAAUUGGACUAUAACCGUAAAAGUGCCACUCCACCUUAAUAAGGCAAGACAGAUGUUUAGGUUAUUUCGACAGAUUUGAGGAAUGGAAUAUUUACAAAGCAGGGGAAAAGCACCGAAAUUGAACCCAAUAGUCAAUUGCCCAAACCUUUCGUUGGGCCUGUGCUACCAACAAACAAAAAAGUAUCUGCUGCUAACUUUUGACCAUUUUCAACUUUACCGUGUCUACUUCUCACUAGACAAAAAGUUACGAAAGUAAGAAGGCAUAGUAAAAUAGUUUCACCUACACGAUUAAUACAUGUCUUUAUUGUGCUUAAGCCGGACAACUGUGCUCGCUGUAAAUUCCCCUCAUUUAUGGUGUUUAGCAUUGAUAAUUGUAUGCAUUUCAACAGCAUCAGCAAAAGUAUAUAUACCGAUUAUGGUAAGCAUAUGCACAUAGGUGAAAAUAUACAAGUAAGUAUUCAAAAAAGUUGAAAUACUUACAUGCUUCGACGUCGUCAAGAUAGCAAUGACUGGUGCACAACCAGACGACCGCUGCAACCAAAAUUCCGCUGUUGUGUGUCCGGUUUUAAGGAUGAAGUCAAGCACGGUGUAAAUGGACUGCACAGUCUUGCUCACACAGCCUUGCCCAACUUAGGUCUAUGCUUUUUUUUCAACUAACUGGUCCCCUACCACACGUUAGGGACAGGUGUGGGACCGUGCCAGUUGUGAUGGCUUUUCCCGCCAUUUCCAUAGCUUCAUUUUCCCUCCAUUUAUUGUAAAGGUUUCCCUCUUUUCCCUUGCUCUGUGUUUUUCCUUUGUACCAAUUAUUUUGUGACCCCACUUCUUGCCAAUGGCGUCUGAGGUAAGCUUCAACUUUGGCAUUGCAUAAUUGAACUCCGGCUUGCACCAUGGACCCGAUGACAAAAUGUAACUAAAUUUAAUUUAUAUUUAGUUAUAGAUUACAUAUGCAUGUUAUUUUUGUUUAGUGGUUGAAUCUUAUAUUCGUGAACUAUCUGCAGACGAAAAAAAAAUUCCAGACUAUACUAAUUUUGUUAUACUAACUAUGUUAUUCUUAUUAUUGUAUUAAUUGUUACACUAUUUCUCUCAUUUUAUUAGGUCUACAUUAAUAUAAGUUUAAUUCUUAUUAUAUCUUGUGUCCCAAAAAAUACAUAUAUUAAAACUUCAUCGUCUUAUUAUAUUCAUAGGUUUUAAAUUAUAGAAAUUAUAUAGAUAAGUGAUAUUCCAUACAUAAGUAGGAACAUAUGUUGUUAUUAUUAUCCAAACUUUUAAAUUUUUCAAAAAUUAUUCAAAUGUAUAAUACAACAAAAUUUUAUUAUUUUAUAGGGUUUUGUCAAAGGUCAAAAUAUUUUAAAAUAAAUUGACCCAAAAUUUUUUUAAAUUAUACAUACGAUCAAGUAUGUAUACAAGUAUAUUAAGAGUACUUACUAAGUAAGGUACUCAGUUUUAAUCAUUAAUAAAAUAUUUUAUUGUUAUUUCAAAUAACAAUAAAAGAUGGGCUUGGUAUAAGUUUUUUAAGCAAAAUAGAAUAUUUGUGCCAUAAAUUAGCAUGUUUUGGUCAUUAAUCAAAUUUACUAUGUUAUAAAUAAAAAUCACUAUUUAUGUAUAAAAAACAUACUAUUACUUGAAAUAAACUUACUCCUUCAAAAGUAUAUUUGGGAUAUAAAAUAGUAAUUUAUCUCUUUAAAAAGUAUGUUUCAUAUUACUUUCAAUUUACCUUUUGGAUUGCAAAAGUUACUAAUUUAUUACGUUAACUUACUAUUUUAGAUGAGAAACUUACUUCGUUAUUUUUACCCAUUAUCCUAUUCAAGUGGAUAAGUCCAAUAGGUAAUCAAAUGGUUGCUAAAAUUAUUAUAACCUAUUAUAUCAUGUCUAAAACUGUUUUUUUACCAUAACGAUAGUUACUACACCAUUUUCCCGGAUGCUUAAGUUGAACACUUGGGUACUAAAUUUAUAUGUAUAUAAAUAUAAUGACGGCUUGAAUCCUUUUGUGUUUCGAGUUGCUACGGAACUACAACUUUGCUCCACUUUUCCUUCUUCCAAAUUAUUAUCCCCCACACGUGUGAGAUUUACAUUUAUUAUUUGUUAAAAUUUUGGUACCUUCUUUAAGCACAUUUUUUGUCGAAGGCAUUUGCAGCAUUUUUCCAUUGGUAAUGGGUACAUUUGCAAAUGAAUAAAUGCCUCUGGUUCUAACUUGCAAUUACCCUUCCUGACCCAACCUACAACAUCGUAUGGAAGUCCGUGUGGUUUUUUGGUUGCAUCCGCAGACGGUGCAUGCAUCUUUCCUCUCCACGCGUUCUGCCACAACUUAACGUCUCCAUUUGGACUCCAUUCAACUCUAACACGUGUCGAUCUCUGCAGCCCUUCCUACCAUAGGCACGGUCAAAGCGUUCCUACCAUAAAGGUUUGCACUUCUCAACCAUAGAUUUGUACUCCAAUAAUUUCUUCACCCUGUAUAUACAUGCUCAAAUGGUUCAAACAUUUUAGCCAUCUUUACAUCAACUUUGUGUUUCUUUAUGAUGCUUUUGGUAUUCUGUUUCCCUAAACUCAUUGGCUCACAGUAGUGGCAGAACUAGGACCUUGAGGCCCGCGGGGUAGGUUUGGAGGAGGCAAAGUUUGUGAAGUUUUUUGUUAAAAAAUUGUCAAUUACAUAAAAAAAAAUCUACCAUGCAAUAUUUAUUGAAUUUUAAUAUAAAAUAAUGAAACAAUUACAACAUAAAUAAUAAAAUUCAUAAUUGUCCUCGAUAAGUACUCAUGCUUCGGAAACGUUGAAUUAUUGCUUCAUUGACAAUUCUAUAAAAAAUAUCUCUCUCAAUGUAUGUCAUCAAGCAGUCAUUCAUUCAUCCAAUGAUCUUCCAUUUGAUUGCGUAGCCUAUUCUUCACAAUCUUCAUAGUAGAAAAUGUUCUUUUUACAAUAGCAAUAGUAGUAGUUUCAGAGAAUUGUUGUUUUAAUAGAGAUGUUUUAGGAGAUUUUCUUCUUUCGGACAUGGAGAUAUGUUAGAAGAUGUUCUAAUAAAUUGCAACUUGUGUGUUUCUUAACAUUUUAACUAAAGUCAAUUUCCUAAAAGUUUUAAAAAUUUGAAAUAUGUUCCUAUAAGUUUAAAGUGAAUUUAAUUAUUUUAAUUCUUUCCAAUAAAUUAGAAACAAAUUCACGUUCCUUUAUUUCGUAUUUUCAUUAUUUAGUUGUUUCUUUACUUUUUGCUAAAAAACUAAAACGGAAUUCAUGUAUCAUAGAUACUUAUUCUUUACGCCUCGUUUGGAUUAGCUAUAUUUGGGGUGUUUUUGAAAUAUUUUAUUAUAACAAUGUACGUGAAAAACUUUUGUUGCAAAUGUUUUAAUGUUAUUUUUUGGGGUAUUUUUGAAAAUAUAUUUUGGGUAUAUUUAAGAUUUAAAAUUUUAAUGAGAUAUUUUUAAAAUUGUAUAAAACCUUACCACCACCCACCUUCUCCCCUCUCCUCUCUCUUCCCCUCCCCUAUUUUUGGUGGUAUUUUUGGGGAUACUUGGAAUGUAUUUUGGAGUAUUUUUAUAAUUUAAAAUAUGUUUGGAUACUUUUUAAAAAAUUUACACCACUCACCACUUACCACCACUACCCAUCUCCACCACGCGCCUCCUCCCUUCUCUCUCUCCCCCUCCUCCAUGUUCCCUCUCUUUCUCCUUCAUCCCCUUCCCCCCUCCAUUAUCCCCCUCUUCCUCCCUUCCUCUCCCUCUCUUUCUCCUUGUUCCCUAUCCCUCCUCCCUUCCCCCUAGACCCACUCGGAGAUUGCCGCCCAACCUUCCUUCGAAUAUGGUUGCGACUAGAAGGUCAUGACUAGUGCAACCAAAAGGUCGCAGCUAGAGCUGCUGCUGGUUCUUGGGAGAGGAGAGGAGAGGGAGGAGGAAGGAGAAGGAGGAUGAGGAAGGAGAGGAGGAGCAACGGUGAGGCAAUAGUGAUGGUGGAGGAAGGAGUGGUAGAUGGUGAUGGUGAUUGGAGGAAGAAAAAAAGGUGAUACGAUUUAUUUAUAUAUUUAUUUAUUUUUUAAGUUGUAUUUAAAAUAUAAGGAGUAUUUUUUGGUGGUGUUUUUGAAGUGUGUUACUCUAGAUUUGUAGAUAAAAAACAAGUAUUUCAAAAACUCUCAAAUCCAAACGGAGCCUUAGUUAUUCUAUAAUUUUUUUUUUCUAGAAAUUAGGAAUUGAAGACUUUCCACGCAUGGAAACUUGAGAGAUAAAGUUAAAUGUACAUGUUUAUUAUUUACUUAUUCCAUAAACGUCUCCUAGUUUCAAGGAAUACAUACAGCAGAGAAGAUAUACACACGUACAAGUAUAAAAACAUGGCUUCUUCAACAUUGUCUUUCUUCUAAUAAGUGCUGGUGGGCUAUGAUACAUUUGCUUCACCAGUUUGCCCCUUUAUUUCGUAGGGAGGGGAGGGAAUAGUAAAACUUACACAAAAUUUUGCACUACGUGAAGGGAAUUGCCCCCUCAAGAAAGAGUAGCUCUGCCCUUGUUCAUAGUGAGGGAAAAGUUGGCGAAGCCGGAUGACCGAAUUCAAGUUAAUUUUUUUGUUGUCAGUGUACUUCUCAUAUAUGAGUAAAUAUUACGUAUAUUGAAGGUGUAUAUACUAUUAUCAUUGGUUCAUGAUAUAUAUGUAAAAAUUAAAUUUUAAAUCUAAAUUUUGAUUAAUUUUUAUUUAUCCAACGCUGACAGUGUGUACACUGUCAAUGUAGCAAAGAUUAAUCCUAUAUUAAUAUCUAAAGUCACUGAUCCUUCCAUUUUCUUUUAAUUAUUUAGUCAACUUAGUUAUUGCACCAUGCUCCCCAAGCUGUUGUCGAGAACUAUCCAUAUGCCAAUCAAGAAAUAUCCGUGUGCUAAAAAUUUUAAGCACAAGGAUUUCAAACUUUUUUUUUUCAGCAUAUAGCAAUAUACUAAUUUCCGGAAUUAGACUUUUUAGAUAGACAUAGAUAGUGAAAUGGAAGAUCAUUGGAAGAACAAAUUGUUGAAAAUAAAACCCAGCCAACCAGUUUGAACUCUUGAAUCACAAUCCAACCACAGUAUCGGUUCAAUUUUAUUUCAAACCCAAAUAAUUUUAAAAAACCUGUAAAUUUCAGUUAAAAACUAGUGAGGACGUAAAAGAAGGACAAUUGAAUUGAUCGUAAUUAGUGACAAAGCAAAUGGAAAAAAGGCUGAACAUUGAGUCAGCGUUAACACUUUUGAACUGCGAACCGAAAGCUCAUUGUAAUUCCCUCAUUGGUCCAAUUUAAAAAUAUUGCCAUACACAUUAAAAAUUAAAAUAAAAUGAAAAUUAUCUUCUGGACAUAAUUGUUUUUGCAAGCUACGAUAUUCAAAAUGACAUCGGAUUCUUUAUAUUGUUCAAGACAUAAUUUGGGCCUUUAUGUUAUUGCUUAUGGUGAUAGAAACAUUAGAUUCCUUUUGUUGGUUAUGUUCGUUGGGCUAUUUGAGUUCAAAAAGAGCAAUUUGCAGUAUGAACCUCAACUUUCUGAGUAAGUUCAUCGUUAGAAACAUUCAAAAGUGCAAAAGAAGGUACGAAGAUGCAAUGUUGUACUAAAGUUAAAUGGCAUCUCACCCCUACAAUACAACAUUGGAUUUUCAUCCCAAAACAACUUGGAAAAAUUUUAUAAAAGGUUAGAAACAUUUAGUGUGUCGCAUCAAAUGUGGCCAUUACCUUUUGAUGCCAAAGUAUAUGAAAAAAAUAAAAUUCGUUACAAUUAGUUUGAAGCAUCAAGGUUAAGCUUAAGAUGACGUGAAGAAGAAAUGGAGCAAGGACUUAAUCAAGAUGGUUUUCCCGGAACAUGAAGCUGAAAUGAUAUGCAAAAUUCCACUAUGUGAAUCAUGGCCUGAUGAUCAACUAGUGUGGCAAUCCAGCAUUGAUGGUCGCUUUUCAGUUCAAUCAGCAAACUGGAUGAUCAUUGACCUGUUGAAAACAUUGAAGUGGAAAGAUUGAGUCAUCGUCAUCACUUGAAGAAAGGAGACUUUGGAAAGCAAUCUGGAAACUAGAGGCUCCCCCCAAAGUGAAAUGUUUCCUAAGGAGAUUGUGCUGGAAUGCCCUUACUGCUGGAGCAAAUCUAAAGAAAAGAACAGUAGGAAUCAAUCCUUCGUGUCCUUGGUGUGGGGAAAUAAAUGAAGAUGAUAGACAUAUCCUUUUUGAUUGUAACUGUGCUGCCGAAGUGUGGGAACAAGCAGAGUUAACCAUGGAUAUAAGAGGUAUCAAAGUCUCAAAUUGUAAAGAUUUAAUGGAAGUUGUAUUGGCUACAGGGCAAGGUAUCAAGCUCAGAAAUCAAAUAAGUUCAUGAUCCUGCAGAAAUUGACAGGGAUAUGGUGCCCCCCUGAUGAUGAUCUAUUGAAGAUAAAUGUCAAUGCGGCAUGGAAACAAGAAAAGCAGCAAUGGAGCUGGACAAAUCUUGGCAGCAGUAGCUGAAGGGAUUGGCCAAACAAUGUCAUCGAGCUUGGAGAACUUAUUACGGCAUGCAAGAGGGAUGCAGUGGGCUGCUGCUAAAGUAGGGAUUCCGCCAAAUGUUGUUAAGAGAUUGAAUUCGACUUAUCAGCAAUGGGACACUUGGUAGACAAAGCUAGAAUGAUGAAAAUAGGCAUCCAGAUUUGUAAUAUUUCACACGUAUAUAGAACUGGAAACUUGUCAGCUCAUCUGUUAGCAAAUCUAGCUCUCAAGUGGGAGUUGAAACACAGAAUGGUCUGGUGGGAUAAUUUCCCAUACGUGAUUGUAAAUGCACCUUUUGAGGAUACAAAGGAAUGAAAAUGCUUUUGUCGCUUUAAAUAAAAAAAGAUGUUUGGUUAGGUUUUUUCUAGAAAAGUAAAUGUUCUCUUAGUUGGGUUGUUGUCUCGUAUGCUUUGCAAGAUAAGACAUAUUAAAUGAGCAUCGGUACUAAAGAUUAUUUGAAGGUCCAAUUGCUUUGAUAACACUCAUUGUCCUUCGCCUUGGCUGUGGAUUUUUAGCUAUGAUUUUGAAGAAACAUAUUAUGUGUCAUGAGUUGCUGUCCAAACCAAUGACAUAAAAAAAUUAUUAAAGGGUCUUUCAACUCUGUUAUAACUUUUUAAUUUUAAUUAAAAAAUCGUAUCGUUCAAAUUUAUCAAAAAUUAAAAACAAUUAAGAGUUCGAAAGAAAAUCGUAAAUUUAGAAUGAGAUUAAAUUCUCUCUUCCAAAAUAAGUUUUUCAAUAUUAUAUUUUGAAAUGAGUUGCAAAAGUUAAAAAAAAAAGUAAUAGAAAUAAGGGAUGCAAAUGAGGCCCCUGUUUGGAUUGCUGUUUUUUGGGAAUUUAUUUUUUUACUUUUUGUGUAAAUAUUUUUUACAUAUUUUUAAUUAUUUUUUCAUUUCACAUAUAUCAUAUUUCAAAAAAAUAUAUUAUAAUAAUAUUUUUCUCAAAAACUCCUAAAAAAUUACAAUCCAAACAAAAUUGGGAUUUUUUAAAGUUUAAACUUAAAAGGUCCUAAGUGAGAUACCGUUAGAAACCAAGAACUGCGCCGCGCUUAACUUUGACCUAUUAUAGCCGUCGCCACCCUCUCAAUUGAUAAUAAUAAAAAAUAAAAGGGAAAAUCGUCCAAAACGUCCCUCACAUUUUGUAAAAUGACAUUUUUCAUCCUUCAUUUUUAAAAGUGUAAUUUUAUGUCCCUUACAUAUUCACCUCAAUCAAAUUUAAUCCCUAACUAGGUUUUCGAUCAUUUUUUGGCCGAAAUCCAUCACGUGCAAGGCACGUGAUCAUUUUUUAAGGGUAAAUUUGUCAAAUUAUAUUUUACAUAAUCUGAUCUAUAGUCCUCCACAUUUUAUAAAAUAAAUUUUUUCGCCCCUCACAUUUUAUAAAAUGAUUUUUUCAUCCCUCACAUUUCACAAAAUAAAUUUCUCCAUCUCUCGCAUUUCAAAAAAUGAAUAUUUCCAUCCCUCACUAAUUAUGUAUGUGAGGGAAACCUUUAAAAAAAGUGUGUGAAUACAUUUUGUUCAAACACGUGUAUAUGUUUAUUUGAUUUUGUUUAAUAAUACGAAUAUCAUAAAUAUAUAUAUGUGUCUAUUUGAUUUCACUUAACAAUACGAAUACCAUAUAUUAUACGUGAUCAUUUGAUUUCAUCUGGUAUUAGCUAGUAAAUAAUCUUGUAUUCAUUGUCAAGUUGGCCAAUAAAGUUAUUUUCAGUCAAAAUAUAAUAAGAAUAUACAAAUUAAGGUUCUAUUAGUAAAUAUUAGUCAUAAUCAUAUAAAAAGAAAAGAUAGCCCACAAGUUGGGGCCAAUUACAUACAUGUAUUUAUGCUAUUAUUAUUAAGUAAAAUCAAAUAGACAUAUAUAUGUGUUUAAAAAAAUGUAUUCACACACAUAAUUAGUGAGAAAUGAAAAAUUCAUUUUUUGAAAUGUGAGGGAUGAAAAAAUCAUUUUAUAAAAUGUGAGGGACGAAAAAAAUUUAUUUUAUAAAAUGUGGAGGAGUAUAGAUGAGAUUAUGUAAAAUAUAAUUUGACAAAUUUAUCCUUCAAAAAUGAUCACAUGCUUUGCACAUGAUGGAUUCCGGCCAAAAAAUGAUCGGAAACCUAGUUAGGGACUAAAUUUGUCCGAUGUGAAUAUAUAAGGGAUAUAAAAUUACACUUUUAAAAGUGAUGGACGAAAAAAGUUAUUUUACAAAAUGUGAAGGACGUUUUGGACGAUUUUCCCAAAAUAAAAUCACUCUCAUAAUGAAGACCCUUUUUCUCAGCCGAAGGCUCUCAAAAUAUAUCAACCUCUGCAUUAGAAGGAAGGAAUAUCAUUGCUUAAGAGAUCCAACCCAGAGCAUUCCAACGAUCGAAAAGCUCAUUUCUUGUGGGAUACUUGAAAUAAAUUACUCCAACUCAAUAUCAAUGAAAAUUUUCCCGAAAAUUAAACUUUUAAAUUCUUUCUUUUACUUAUCUCUCAAUAGACCCUCUGUUUCUGUUUUAUGUAUAUUCAUAUAUAUGGUGUUGAAAAUAAACAAUAUUCAUAUAAUAUACGGUUUAUGCAAAAGGAGGGAAAAAAGGGCUAAUUGAUCCGAAUAUUGAUGAAAAAAAAACCCUUCAGACACUUGCGGGUCUGACAGCAGUCCGGUAUAAAUAUAUGGGUGCCGGGCUGACACAGCUCGGCACCUGACACCAAAAAAAAAUUUUUUUUUUUUUAAAGACACAUGGGUGCCGGGCUGAGGGCUGUGUCAGCCCAGCACCUGACAAAGUCAGAAAAAGUUGGCUGCAGUGCCCGGCAGCCAGUCAAAUAGUAAAAAAAAAAUUUCGAAGGGCCUCAAUGCAAUUCAGACAAAGUGGCUCAACUGAAUUGCAUAAUUAAUAUUAAAAAAAUAUUCGGCAGGCUUCAAUGCAAUUCAGACCUUUGGCAAGCUGUUAGAGCACUAGAACAUUUGGCAAGCUAUGAAACGACCUUCAAAGCUAUAGCGCUUUAUGAAGAAGAAGUGGUUAGAUUAGCCAUGCGUUUGGCUUCUACCUGUGUGAAAAGCUGGCUGCCGGCUUGUUUUACAAAAAAAAAAAUGCGGCAGAAGAAUGCAUUUCUGACAAUAUUCUUCAAUCCACGGAAUUAAAGUAGAGGUAAAAAUUAAACAUCGAUUACAUUUCUAUGGUGAAAAGUUCACUUUCCUGCGCGCAAUAAGCAGAAGCAAAGCAGAUGCGGAGAUGCAUAAAGAAGUAUAUUGGCAACUCAAAAAAUUAAAUUAUGCAUGGAUGAAAAAUAUUAUGUAUAUUAAAAUUAUAAUAAAAGGCCGUUUAAAAAUUUAUUCAUUAUUUAAUGUUCAAUACUUAUAUUUGGUAAAUUAAAAUAAUUAAUUAAAUAUUCUAUUAUAUUAUAAGUAACUAUAUAUCGUUAAGUCGAUUGAAUAAUAUGUAAGCAUUUAUUUUUUUUGGCAUUUGAAGUAGUUGUCUAUUAAGUUUUAAUUGAAAUAAAGAUUUUAUAAUUAUUUGAAAUUAUGCAAUAAAAAAUCACUGUAAGAUAAACAUAAAUGUAAGAUGAAAAAAUAAAUGUAAGAUAAACAAAUUGUAUGAUUCAAAUAUUUGAUUUAAUAUGCAAGAAAGACAAGAAGAAAUGGCAAGAAGUUUUUUAAAAAUUAAUGUGAGUUCUUUAUAUUGGUAAUCACCUUUAUUUGUUAUUUUAAUCAUAAUACCUGAUUAUAACCGAUUAUAAUACCUAAUACUAUUUACAACUAAAGUUACUAUAUACGCAAACUAAAAUUUUCUAUUUCACUACAUUUUCUUUUAUAUAUGAUGCACGUUUCAUCAUUUGUUAAAACAAAUUAAAUGACAAAACAAAUGACAAACAAAUGAUAAAUUUUAACAAAUAAAUAUUUUCUGAAACCUAAACCCCAAACCCCAAACCCUAAAAAAGAAUGCAUUUCUGAAACCUAAACCCUAAAAGCCUGAACCCUAAACCCUGAACCCUGAACCCUGAACCCUAAACCCUAGACUAUACACAGCGUAGAAUUUCCUUGAUAAUGUAACCUUAAAGAAGGAACCCUAAACCCUAAACCCUAAAGAAGAAUGCAUUUCUAAAACCUAAACCCUAAAACCCUAAAAACAUCCACGGAAUUAAUAUCUAAUGUUCAAUACUUAUAUUUGGUAAAUUUAAAUAGUUAAUUAAAUAUUCUAUUAUAAUAUAAGUAACUAUAUAGCGUUAAGUCGAUUGAAUAAUAUGUAAGCAGUUAUUUUUUUGGGCAUUUCAAGUAGUUGUCUAUUAAGUUUCACUUGAAAUAAAGAUUUUAUAAUUAUUUGAGAUUAUGCAAUAAAAAAUCAACAUAAGAAGAAAAAAUGCAUAACAUGACAUUGUACAAUCGUGAAUUUAAAAAUAGCGAUAAGUAUUAUAAUAAUAAAAGAUUAAAUUAACGCUAAAUCCUCAUAUUCAAAUAUUUGAAAUUGUAAAACAUGCAAUUGAAAUGAUCAUAUCAACGGUUGGUACGCCUUUUGCCCCUGCCUUUAUCACCUGGUGUUGUAGACGGACAACAAAAUCUUUUAGGCUUUCGUCUGCAACGAUCACGAAGAGCAUAGGGUCCUACGUCAUCCUCCUCAUCCGACUCAACUGUCGUACUACUAUCACCAUCGUGUUGAGAACGAUACGUGGCAAAAUCCCCCGUCUGACCGUAUGUAGUAGUAGAUAUCGGCUGGAUCGACGCAGAUACGGUCGUAGUCUGUCCAAGACUGUAAUAAUCAGGAAGGUCUGAAAUGGAAGGGACACCACCCGUUUCGUUCAGAAAAUUGAAUAUUGGAUGUAGGUUAGCAGUAGAAGAUGAGUCCGCUGCAGUGGCAACGUAUCCAAAUGGAGGCUCGUUUGACGAGGAUGGAAAAUGUCCCCCAAAUACAGGCAAAUAUGGAGAGGGCCUGGAAUAUACACCAAAGGGUGGAAACUGUGGCAAAGGCGUGGCAUCUAGAGCAAUAUGCUGUGAGUGCGGGAACGAUGUCACCUGAGGGGUAAAGGGCGAUAUAUUCUGUCCAUGUGACACACCGUGGAUGUCUGUCAUCGGCAAAGACACAGAUGUGGUGAAUUGAUUACUAGUCGGGUUGUAAUGCGACUGAGUGCCCCCCUCGGUCAUUUGAAUGCCCGUCUCCUCAAUGACUUCGUCCUGCAACCCAUGCCUAUGGCGUCGACUUCUACUAGAUGAUGGUCCACCUUGUGUAGGGACACAUCGCACGCGAGGUUGGAUAGGAAUUUCUGGUGUCACAUGAGGAUUAUGAUCGAAAGAAUCAUAAUCACCAACAACCAUGCGAUCAAAGCGCUGGAGAUAUUGCAUUGAUCCAUAUGCUCCAUCAACAAUUGUUGCAAGACGUGGAUGAAAUCGACUCCAGGGUCAUCAAGUUCAAGUGCACCAUGUGAUUGCCGACCAAUGCGCUGCAUAGUAUUCAUCUGACAUAUACAAAAUAGGAGAAAACAUGAUCAUCCAUUGUCCAAAAGUAAAUAAAUUAAAUUUGGGAGAUAGUAGUAAUUUACCAAAUACUCCAACUGGCCCGAAACUCCAUGCAACAUUUGUCCAACUUGUGCCUGCUGCUGGAUAGGCGGCGUAAUGUACAGAACGGUGUGAUUGUGAUACCACUCCAGAUAAUUAUUGGAAGGCCUGAACGUGGUUGUAGGCACACCAGGUACUUGUGCUUCUCCACGCGCAUUCCAGUAUCCUAUCCAAUCCCGAUGAAAAUGAGCCCAAUUUCUUCCAGGAUAACCGGAAAUCUCCAAUUGGUGUAAACCUCGAUUAGUGUCAACUUCUUCCGGAAUUUCCUGCCUCAUCCCAAAUUGGCGCAUGACACGAUUUGGACAAUGUAUUUCGACGAUGUGCCAGAAAAUUAGAGGGACUCUUGCCCGCCAUAUGCGCUCCCCUCUUCUGCAAUAAUCAGGUAGACUAGCCAGUACGCCAUCGCUAUACGACAUCCAAAUAAACUGCUACCAUAACCAUAAUUUAGGUACGAUCCAAAAUUAAAAACGAGGGACUAUAAAAUAUAAUUUAUUGAUAUAGACGUUAUACCUGAUCCAACCGCAAUAAGGCUAGCUGCUCCCGAUAAGAUGUAGUGGAUCGGCUAUAAGGGUCAACCCCUGUUCGUUGAGCGGCCCAUCUACCACCUCUAGGAAAAUCCCCAAUCCCAGAAUAUGGGAGUAUAUCAGGACGAAUCACGGGAAUCCGCUCCCACGCCCAAAGCUGUACUAACAAGUACGGACCUCUAGAUGUGAUUGCAGACACACGUGAUGCGUGGCACAAUCGUCGGUAUAAACACGCCAACGUCGCAGAUCCCCAGCUGUACUGGCUCAUGGCAUCCAAAUCCCGAACAUAGUCUAGCCAACUUAAACUGACAACGUUCUGACACGAAUCUGUAAAUAGCAAUCCACCCAAUAGAAUUAGAAUGUUCAUCCGGGCAUACUGGCGAACCAUCUCAUCAGAAGCAUCUGCAGGCAGUGGCGUACUCAACCGUCGGGAUAUGGACGAUAACUUCAGACGACCGUGGUUCAGCAUAUUAUCUUCUGGCCAAUAUCCCAAAAGGUCGUUAACCAACUGUUUGCGGUCUAAUGGACUACGUUUCGUCUGUACUAAUGUGACGGGUAGACCAUCAACGCUUAGACCCCACAAAACCUCCACAUCCUGCAGAGUCACAGUCGCCUCUCCCAUAACUGGAAGGUGAAAAGUGUGUGUCUCUUGCCUCCAACGCUCCACAAGUGCAUUAAUAAGACCAUGAUCUACUGUGAGAUAACCGGCGCGGCGAAUGCCAUAAAAGCCAGCAGCAUCGAUGUAGUGCGCAACCCGUUCAUCUAAAUGUAUAAGAGGUUGAAAAAACCUCUUAUCACACCGCCGAACAUCUAAAUCCACACCAUUGCCUCGCUCAAGAUUACCACUUAUAAUUUGUAAACCAUCGGUACCAUGUUCUUCUAAACCCAAUAGCUUCUCGACCUCCACAUAUAUUUCGGUUGCAAGCCUACUACCAGAUUGUAAGUAGUACAGACCAGCAACUCCAUUGUCAUUUACCAAAGGCAUUGCACCAAACUUGCCAUUUUGGAGACAACUCCGAUAUAUCAAACUAAUGUUAUAGCUGUUCCGAUCUAAACCCAUAAUAGUGUAUAUUCUAUCUACCAAUUCAUCAUAACCCACCACCUCUGUCAGGAACAACGCAUUUUUCGGUAUAGGAGGAUCAUAUGAAAUUGACCCCUUUUUGUAUAUAAUUUUUCCUCCCCAAUAUAAUUGUAUCACCAGGCAAUUAUCACUUGACAUGUUAUACCUAUUACGGACGAGUGUUGAUAACAUUGUAAAAUCGCAUUGAUAAGCUUAUUUGAAUAAUCAAUUAAUUGAUCGAAUCAAAUAUGUAUAAUUUAUAACAAAUAAAUAAAUAAUUAUGAGUCCAUAAUUGUAACAAAUAAUAACCAAUAAUAUAACAAAUAACAACAAAAAAAGCAUUAUAAUUAAAUAAUUCAACCAUUUAUAACAAAUAAACGUAUCAUUUAAUAAAUAACAAAGUAAACCUAAUUAACCACCUUAAUUACUACAUUUAGUUAUAAAAAUUUUACCUUAUGCUAAGUCUAUCAUGCACCUACAUUUCAUAUUUGGUCAAUUAAAUAUGAAAUUCUAAUCAAAUAUCUUACUAAUAUUAAAAACCCUAUUUUAAAAUGAUUUUAUGCUAAUUACGUUAUGUUUAUGCAUUUAAUGUAUUAAAUGUAGCAGUUUUUCCAAAUACUUGAAUUAUCCCCACUAAAUAGCUAUCAUAACCAAAACUCAAUACAUGCCUCGACAAAUAAAUCUAAAUUCAUUUAAUCGACCUCUUAAAAUUAAUUAAUUACAAAAGAGUGAGAGGUCCUAAUUUAACUAAUUAAACCACAAAACUACUUAAUCUAAUCAGAUACUAAAUAGCACAAGCUAGUUAUCAACUAACUUGCGCAACAAAGUCAAUUGCAUUAAACUAAUACCCCUAAUUUUGAAAUAAAGCUAACCUAAUUACAUUAUGUUUAUGCAUUUUAUGUAUUAAAUGUAGCAAUUAUUUCAAAUACUUAAAUUAUCCCUACUAAAUAGCUAUCAUAAUCAAAACUCAAUACAUGACUCGACAAAUACAUCUAAAUUCAUCUAAUCGAACCUAUUAAAUUUAAUUCAUUCAACUAAUUAAAAAGCAACUAAUUAAUCUAAUUAAAUCACAAAACUAAUUAAACUAAUCAUAUACUAAAUACCGUGGACUAAUUAUCAACUAACUUGCAUAAUAAGGUGAAUUGCAUUGAACCAAUAAUACUAAUUUCGAUAUUAAGCUAUGCUAAUGACAUCAAUUUUAUGUACUGCAUUUAUUAUAGAUUUAUAUUCAUUUAAUCAAUCACUUUAAAUACAUUUAUUAAACAAAUUUAAACAACUAAUUAAUCUACUUAAACUAAUUCAAUCACUAAACUAAUUCAACUAAGCGUGUACCGUGCUUCACUAACUAAUAUUAACAAACAUACGUAAACUACAUUAUAUGUUUACAAUUGCUUCAACAAUAAAUUAAAUAUUUAAUUAAUAACAAAUUAUAAUAAUAUCAUAAAAUAUUUAUCAACAAUUCACUAACAUAAAAUGACAAAUUAUAGCAACUUUUAUAUAAUACAAAUCACUAACCUUUUUUGAAUCAAAAAAAUCGAUUGCCUUGGGAGCACCGUGAGUAAUGAGCCCGGCGACCUUAACAGAAGCACCGCAAUUAAUCAGCACGGCGAUUAACAAAAACAUGGCACCAAGCGUCUGAUGCCAAUUCUGCAUAAGAAUAAGGUAAUUAUUAGAAACACCAACAGGACCACAAGCCAAUUCUACUGCCAAACAAAGUAAUAAUCAUUUGUUAAAUAAGGAGGACUAAGCCAACAAAUACUCACGAUUUGGACCACAGGACAGUUCUUUGCCCAACUCUUCAAAAUAUCGAUUAGGGCCACAAGAUAGUAAUACGCCCAACUCUGCAAAAUGUAAAGUGAGGUGCUCGUGUGAAAGUGUGAGACACUGAGAAAUGUAAACUCCGACUGAGGGCUGAGAGAAAAAUGAGAAAUGUAAAUUUCGUAGGGGAGAAAGUGAGAGGUGCGGACGAUGAGGAAGUUCCUCAGUGCUUAUAUAGAGCAUAAGGUAAAAUCUAGCCGUCCGUUUGGACGGCUAGAUUACAAAGUUUUUUUUUAAAAAAAAAAAUUUUAUUACCGGUAGCACACAAUUAUUGUUUCACGACCUGCUAAAGUCUAAUGGAGCAUAGUUCUUUUGUCCAAUCGUACGUAAAAUUUGUUUUGAUUCAGCUCUUUUUUGCUUCACGGGAGCUGCAGACAAUUUUUUUUUUGUCCACAAACCUGCAAAAGGGGCAAAUCUGAAGCAGAAAAGUGUGAAAAAUUCACGGGAGCUACAUUGUCUGAAUUGCAUUGAAGCCUGCCGAAUAUUUUUUUAAACACUUUGACUGGCUGCCGGGCAGAGAGUGCCCGGCAGCCAGCUUUUGCAGUUGAGCCCCUUUGUCUGAAUUGCAUUGAGGCCCUUCGAAAUUUUUUUUUUACUAUUUGACUGGCCCGGUACCCAUGUGUCUUUUUAAAAAAAGAAAAUUUUUUUGGUGUCAGGUGCCGGGCUGUGUCAGCCCAGCACCCAUAUAUUUAUACCGUACUACUGUCAGACCCGCAAGUGUCUGAAGGAUUUUUUUUUCAUCAAUAUUCGGAUCAAUUAGCCGGAAAAAAGGGGGUAAAAAAAGGACCUCGUAGGGAUUGGCUAGGGAUGGCAACGGGGCGGGGUUGGGGCGGGGGACCCCUCCCCCAUCCCCCGCCCCGUUGCCUAUUAGUUCCCCCCGUCCCCCGCCUCCUGCUCCCCCCGCCCCGCCCCGCCACGCCCCGUUUCCCUCGCGGGGUUAAUAAAUUUUAUUAUAUAAUUUUAUUAUAAUUAAAUUUUAAUAAAUAAUCAAGUACUAAAUUAUCAAUACAUCACCAAAUUAUUAUUCAUUGUAAUUUUACAAUUGAAACUCAUAAAAACAAUCAAACAGAAGUUAUUUGAAUACAAUCCAAUAUGAUGAAAUAAAUAUAACUAAAAUAGUCAAGUUUUCACUUUUAGUACAAAUGCAAUCACUAAUUCAUUAUUGUGUUUGUGCUUUUUUUUUGAGAAAAAAGUGUUAUGUUAUUAAGUGUAAUUAGAAAUUUAGUAUAAAUGUAUUAGUAAAUUUAGUAUAACUAAUUAAUAAAUUUUAUUAGUAGACAUGUAUAAUUAUUCAUAUAAUUGAUAAUAUCAAUUAUAUUACAUAAAUUACCAUACAUUAUAUAAUACAUCUAACUAAUAAUAUCAUUAUCAUAAGUUUAUAACUAAUUAACUUACAUAUUAUAUAUAAUUAUAUAUAUAAUUAUAUAUAUAUUUUUUGCGGGUGGCGGGGCGGGAGUAUACUCCCCCGUCCCCCGCCCCAUUUCUAAGCGGGGGGGGAAAAAUUCCCCCCGCCCCCGCCCCAUCCCCCGCCCCGAGAGUCCCCCGCGGGCACCCGUCCCCGUUGCCAUCCCUAGGAUUGGCUUGAAUAAGAGGGCGGCGCCUGGAGAUUUCCUUCUAGUGUUAUAGGGCUUUCUUCUUGGAGGCCUCCCGGUUCGGGUCGACAAGUCGGAGCCCCGUGAAUUAGACCAAGCAACCCAGAGCGGCGCUGGCAGCGUACAGUAUCAGGUCUUGCACGAAUUUCAUCUCUGUUGAAUUCCUCUUCAUCUUUCUCUCCUUUUUUUUUUUUUUUUUUUUCUUUCUUUUUUGCUUCUUCUUCUGUGUUAUACUGCUAGUGAAUGUUAUAAACUAAUUCGAUUAGGGCAGACGAUUCACAGUAGAAAAAGACGCAGAAAGGCGCCCUCUCACUCGUUCAGCUGCAGCAAUCGUCGCCACCCUAUUGUGGGCGUCUGACUUUCUUUCCUCUUUCCUCCCUUCCCUCUCAAAUUUCACCGCUACCGCCACAGCGACCACCACCGGUGUAUAUGAUAUGAAAGCCUCCUCGUCUUCUUCGCCCUUUUAUUUUUCCUUCUCCUCCUGAAUCUCUGCCACCCACUCGCUGUUUAGUGAAGAGUCUUCAAAGAGAGAAUUUUGGGUUAAAGAUUGAUUUGUUAUUUCUGUCUUUCUGUGCAAUUUCUCAUUAAUUUUUUUUUCUAAUUUGUAUUUUGGGCUGAAUAGCUAGGUGGGAUACUUAUCUUAUUUUUGCAUGUCUUCAGGUGCGGGAAGUUAGUGGGAUACUAGCAAAAGAUGCAGUCAUGUAGUGGAGCUGCUGCAGUUAUGGGGUCACUUCAACAGCCCAUUUGGAUUAAGGGAUCAGCUUUUCCCUGUAAAGGGUUUGGUAUCAGUGGAAAUCAGAAUUAUGUUAAACUAAUUUCGGUUGGCCCAUGUAGAAUAUCUCAGCUGCAAGGCAGUUUGGUCACCGGGAGACCUCCAUCUUCUGUUUCUGUUCCUGUGCCUGAAAUUGGAGGUAAUGGCUAUGAGUCAACAGAUUGCGAUUAUAUUCCAAUAUGCAGCAGCAAGUCUAAACUUUUGAAUUUCUGCCGUUUCUAUAGUGAAUAUGGUUCAAUUUCAGUGAGUCUUUAGUUUUUUGUGAGUAUUUGAAUUAAUGAGAUUAGGGCUUAGUCAAAUCAAAAUAUUAUUUUGUAAAUUAGGUAGUGGAAGCAGCUUUGAAGACUUCAAUUUGAGUGAGUCUGAUCCUGAAGUUCAGUCUAUCAUAGACAAGGAAAAGGAAAGGCAGUUUAAAAGCUUAGAGCUUAUUGCCUCAGAGAAUUUUACAUCUCGAGCAGUAAUGGAAGCUGUUGGUUCUUGCCUGACGAACAAAUACUCUGAAGGAUUGCCUGGUAAAAGGUUGGCUCUUGCAUAUUGGAUGAAGCGUAUUGAUUUUGUGGUGUUACUUCUUGAUAGUCCUUUUUUCCCUCUCUUGGUCCUGUCUUUGUCUUUUAAUUUUUAAAUGUAUCAGAUACUAUGGUGGAAAUGAAUACAUUGAUGAGCUGGAAACUCUUUGCCAACAAAGGGCUUUAGAAGCAUUUCAUUUAGAUGGGAAAAUAUGGGGUGUAAAUGUCCAGCCACUGUCCGGUUCCCCUGCUAAUUUUGAGGUUUACACAGCCAUUCUCAAUCCUCAUGACCGGAUAAUGGUAAGUUAUAUGCUGCCUACGUGCAUGUUGGGCUUUCAAAAUAAUUCCUGAAAUAUUAGUUUUAGAUUCUUGUUGAAGUUCUUAAGGGAGAUUAAUUGGUCCCAGGGGCUGGAUUUACCUCAUGGAGGACACUUGUCCCAUGGGUUCAUGACUCCAAAAAGACGUGUAUCCGGCACAUCAAUUUACUUUGAGUCUAUGCCAUAUCGGCUUGAUGAGUCCACAGGUGCAUGAUUAUCUGUAUUAUGCCUCAUUUUAUUUUCUUCUUCUAAAUACCAAUGUUGACGUUAAAGUUUCUUUUCACUUUGAUCAGGCCUUGUAAAUUAUGAGAUGCUUGAGAAAACGGCUAUUCUUUUUAGGCCAAAACUUAUUAUUGCUGGUGCAAGUGCAUACCCUCGUGAUUUUGAUUAUCCUCGCAUGAGAAAGGUUCAUUUCUAGCAUUCUUGUUAUAUGUCCUUUGAGGAAUCUGUAUUUUUCUUUUUCUUUUUCUUUGUGUAAGAUCUGGCUGUAUUUGUAUUCAUUGCCUUUUGAUAGAGUAAUUGAAUUCUGCAUUGUUUGUGCUUCUGAAGAUUGCAGAUGCUGUUGGUGCUUUCCUCAUGGCGGAUAUGGCACACAUCAGUGGACUUGUAGCUGCUUCUGUGGUUGCCAAUCCUUUUGAAUACUGUGAUAUUGUAACAACAACAACACACAAGGUGUAUUAUCUUUGAUUGUGCAAUUUUGUAGCAUAUACAUUAAUAUGGUUUCAAAAAUACUAACAUAACAAAGAAACAAUUAUUUAGUUUAAAUAUGAGUUUUCGCUUUUCAAAUAUUGUUGGUUCUUUGUUUGAACAAUCUUUGCUGGUGUCUUCCUAAGGCAACCAUCUCACACAACUUCUGCCUUGAUCCUAUUCUUUGUGAUGUUUUUAGUCUUUGAGAGGGCCCAGAGGGGGAAUGAUCUUCUUCAAGAAGGAUCCUAUCCUUGGUGUUGACUUAGAAUCAGCCAUCAAUAAUGCUGUCUUCCCAGGGUUACAGGUUGGUUGGGAUCCUAACUUGUGCUCUCUUUUACUAGGAUUUCCCUAGCACCAGGUUUGUUUAGUUUUUUGCUUUUGAAAGAAGUUAGUAACUUAUAAAGAAUGUUUGUUGACUUAGGGUGGUCCUCAUAACCACACAAUUGGGGGACUGGCUGUCUGCUUGAAGCAUGCUCAAUCACCAGAGUUUAAGAAUUAUCAGAACAAGGUCCUGCAUUCUCUGUCUGUGAAUUAAUGUACUUGUCCCUGUUCUGACUUUGAAGUGUUCUUUUAUAGGUUGUUUCAAAUUGCAAAGCUCUUGCAGAACGUUUGUUUGAGUUGGGUUAUAAUUUGGUCUCUGGAGGAAGUGACAACCACUUGGUUCUUGUGGAUCUCAGGCCAUUAGUGAGUUUCUUCCUUGUAUAUAGUCUUCAUGGUUUCUCAAUCCUUGUUAGAAAUAGCACUCUACUUCUCUGCAGCUAUCCUAUGAACUAGCGGAAAAAUGUGCUAAACGAAAUAUUUGGGAGCAGUUAUUUUCCAAAAUCAAUGAUGUCCAUGGAUCUACCUUAGUACGAUGUAGCAUAUGAGUGCGAUCCAUUGAAUAGAUUAUCUUCGUAGUUCUUGGAUCAAUUCAAGCUCUAUGUCGCUCAUGGAUUGGUUGCUGUCUUACAUUGUAGGGCAUUGAUGGUGCUAGAGUGGAGAAAAUCCUUGAUAUGGCAUCUAUCACUUUAAAUAAGAAUUCAGUACCUGGUCAGUAUUCAAAAUUAUCCUUCUCUAAUUUGAACGUUCUCACCCUUUUUUUUUUCUAUCCUCAAAUUCACAUUGCUGCUUUUGAGAGUCUAGGGGAUAAAAGUGCUUUAGUGCCUGGUGGUAUUCGUAUUGGCACUCCUGCAAUGACUACCAGAGGUUUUACAGAGAAGGAAUUUGUAUCAGUUGCAGACUUCAUUCAUGAGGGUGUGCAAAUUACUCUGGAAGCAAAACAGGCUUCUCCAGGUUCUAAGCUUCAAGAUUUCAUGAAAUUCGUUACAUCCAAAGAUUUCCCUUUGGCUCAUCGAAUAUCAGAUUUAAGAGGGAGAGUUGAAGCUCUCACAACCAAGUUCCCACUCCCUGGUUUAUGAGCUAAUGAAACUUCAGAAUUACAUUUUGGUAAGACCACUAGAAUUGAAAUUAGUCAUGGAACUUCGAUAAUAUGGGUGCAUGCAUGUCAGCAAUUUAGGAAUAUUGAGUGUGGAAAUUGUCACAGAAUUGAUUUAUAUUCUUUGGCAACCAAUAGCUACUCGAGAGAUUCUGAUGUGGUCUUCUCCUCUACAUUUGGACUGCCUGUAUCAAUGUUCACACUGCCAAAAAUAUGCUAGUAAUUUUCCCUUAUGCUGAGGGGCUACCAAAUGGGGGUCAAGAGUUGAUCCUUUUCAGUCGUCUUCCGUAUAUCAAAAUUUGUUGAGAAAAUCAUCACAUUAACUUUUUUUUUUCUUUUUAAAAUCAUCACGUAACUUGUUGAGUCGAUAACAUAAAUGUUCUGUGAUGAUUAUAUCAAACUUAUCGAGACUUGAUAUAAUUAUUUGACUCGAUAACGUAAUGUUGUAUUGAAUCUUCACGGAAGAGGUAAAAAAUUAUAUCACUUGGAGGUCAAAAGAUGAUAUCACUUGGAGUAUGCCUGACAAUUGGGCUGGUUGAUUUUGAAUUGGGUUAUCUUGAGUUAUCUUAAAUUCAUGAUUCAAAUAUGCUAACAUAUUAAUUGAUACAUUUUUUAUUCGUAAAUUUUCUCACAUAUAUUUUAAGACACAAAAAGAUUUUUUUCACACAUAAGCAUAUUUUCAUAUGCAUAAAUAUAUUUUCACACACUAGUAUGCUUUGACACACACGCUCACUUCUUAACUUGCUUGGAAACACAUUAUAAAUAGAAUAAUAUUUUAUAUUGAUUGUAUUGUGAAUUUUAGAUAAUAAAUUAUACAUUUAAAUAGAUUAGCUAAAAAAUUUGUUUACUUUAUACUUUUCUAUAUUAUUAAUUGAUUGAAACUUAUUUUUGUCACAAUUUAUUUAACACUUUCACUAUUCAUAUUUGCUUUAUUGUAAAUUGUAAUAUUCGACAUAUUUAAAUUAUUGAAUGCUAGAUUAUACUCUGCUUGAAAAUGUAGUUAAGAGACAUAAUUUUUUGUAUUAUAAUAUUGAUGAUGAAUUAUUACCAAUGAAAUAAAACAAGUUAAAGAAAAGUAAAAGAAUGUGAUUAGAAUAAAUUUAAAACUCUAUUUUAUGUACACAAAAUAUUAAGAAAUAGAAGCAAGUAACAACCUAAGGACAACAACUAAAAAACAAAAAGAAAAAAGAAAAAAAGGGGAGGAAAACAACAUAUUCUUAAAAGGCAUAAUAAAUUAUUAUAGAAGUUGAGCAAGUUUAACAAAUAAGCAUGAGUUUUUAUUUCAAAUUUUUUUUUUAAAAUAAAAAUUUAAAUAAUUGAUUGAAAACAUAUAUAUGAGAAUUGUGAAUAUAAAUUGAUCAAUAAAUUGUUAACAUAUGCCCAAAUGCAAGUGAUUGGGUAUAUGUGUAUUGAAUCUUGUAUUUGUUGUUUUGAAUUAUAUUUAAACAGAUUGGGUAUUGGGUACCCAAAUAAAAAAUUUAACUCACCCAUUGAAUAAGUUGGGUUGUUCUUAUCCAACCCAACAAAAUUCAUAACUUAAUUGACCUAUCCCAUUUUUUAAAAUUAAUGGGCGGGUAGGGUGGAUUGUUGGAUUUUGAUUUUCUUUGUUAGUUCUAAUUUCAAGUUUCUCUUGAAUCUCUUCCCCCCAACACCCCCUCCCUCCUCCCCCGACAAAAAGGGCAUAAAACCUUGUUGUUCAAAGAAUACAAACUAAUGAACUAUAGCUAGAAAGAAGAUGAAUUUUACUGGCACAUUGGAUCAACUAAGAAAGGGCAUAAAACCUUGUUGUUCAAAGAAUACAAACUAAUGAACUAUAGCUAGAAAGAAGAUGAAUUUUACUGGCACAUUGGAUCAACUAAGAUAGAGUGGUGAAAAUCGGCAGCAUUAGUGGGGGUUGCUACUAAAGGCCCUUUUCCUAUAUUAGUAUGAGAGGAGAAAAAACAGUCUUGUAAAAGAGCCAGGGAUGAGAUUGGUGAAAUUUUUGCAUAAAAUAUACUUUAUAUGUUGGGAUCCAAGUACGGAAUACACGAUUAUUGAAAUAUUAAGUACACAAUAAUUUAAUGAUAAACGAAUCACAAACAUGAAAGAUAAAUGAUACAUAAGAUUUAACGUGAUUCGAUUAUAUCAUUGAAUCUACGUUCACAGAGAGAAAUCUGUUUUUUAUUAUGAGCGAAAAAAUCUUAUACAAGAAUACAACUUUGAAUCCAAGUUCAAACUUUUGUAUACCAUAUCUCAUCUCUUGUCUCUCAAGAAUCUUCUCUUACCCCAUGUAUAAGGUUAUAUGUCGCCUUUGUGUGCUUCUUUGUAGUAUGUCAAUCCCCAUCUAUUUAUAAGUUACAUUACUUGGCCAAUACCCAAGUAAUAACAAGAAAUAAUUGUUAAUUCCUAAAUUGGUUUAGAAUAGAAAAUAACUCAUAAUUGCUAAACCCAUACAAAUAGGAAAUUCCUUGGUUACUAUUUCAAGCAACUAAAACUAAUUAAGAACUAGUUACUUGCACACAAAACAAGAAAUCUGUCUAAAUGAAAUUAAACCAUUUCCUAACAAAUCUCCACCUUGGCUAUUAUUUCUUUUAGCGACCAUUUACCUUUAACUAUCAAAUAAUAUGGUAUCAAACUACAUAUUCGAAUCAAUAUAGUCUUGACUCUCAAUUAAUUCAAUUGGUAAAUGAACCUGUGUAGUUACUCCGAGUCUAACUUCCUGUUGACUCGCGAGAAUGUGCCUUAAUUUAGGAUCUCCCUUCGUAGGAUUUCUUCUCACCACCAUUUGUAACUUGGGAUCCUAUUUAGUUAGCUCUAUUUCCAACCAUUAAGGCAAUCAGGUGGUAAAAUCACCAUAAUUCUUCCCAUGCUCAAGACUGUCUCGCCAUAUGUGAUUUUAAAGACUCUACCUACAAUGAAAAACUCGUAACUAUUAGAGCCUUCUGACGCUUGAAAAUUAGAUCUCUUUGUUUUUUUAGCACGCAUGCCACAUCAUCUAAAGAAUAUAAUUUGAAUCUAAAAAUCAUCCGGGAUUAAGUAUCAAUUGUUGAAAUUGUGAGAAAGUUUCCAUCAAUUCACGUUCAAAAUUAAUAUUGGACUCCACCUUUUUCUUGACUCUUGAAUCACAUGCCUAGAUUCACAUCAUUAAGUGUUUUCAUGCUUUCCAACUUUCCAUCCUUCACCAUCAAUACUUUUUGCCAAACUUUUGAAACAAGGAUAUCACUCAUUAAAUUAGUCAAUUGAUAACAUCCACCAACUCACUUGAUCUUAAUAAUCAAUCAGGAUCCAACUAUGAACCCCGCUCUGAUAUCAGUUUGUUGGGAUCCAAACGCGGAAUACACGACUAUUAAGAUAUCAAGUACACAACAAUUUAAUGAUAUACGAGCCACAAGCAUAAAAAAUAAAUGACAUGCAAGAUUUAACGUAGUUCGAUUCGAUCAUCAAGUCUACGUCAACGUCCACGAAGAGAAAUCCAUUCUUUAUUAUGAGAGGAAAAAUCUUAUACUAAAAUACAAUUUAAACCCAAGUCCAAACUCUUGUAUAUUAUCUCACAAGAAUCCUCUUUCACCCUAUGUAUAAGGCAAUAUGUCACCCUUGUAUGCUUUUUUGUAGUACGCCAACUCACUUAUUUUUAAGUUACAUUAUUUGGCAAAUAUUCAAGUAAUAACAUGAAAUCAUUGUUAAUUUCUAAACUGGUUUAAACUAGGAAAUAACUCCUAUUUUUUAAAUUUAUACAAAUAGGAAAUUCUUUGGUUACUAUUUCAAGUAAUUAAAAUCAAUUAGAAAACUAAUUACUUGUACACAAAAUAAGAAACCUGUCUAAAAGAAAUUAAGUCAACUUCCUAACAUUAUUCCUCUGUAAUUUAGUGAUUUUUCAUAUAACUUUCCUUAGUUUCAAAAACUAACUUUCUCACAGUUUGGACUGAAGUGUCAAUUUGACGGAAAUAAUUCUCUGUAAUGGAACUCAAGGAAAUGCUGAGAAUGUCCUUAUUUAAAAACUAAAAUGAUUGAAAUGAUCAAAAUAUAUAAAUUUAAUAUGUGUAAAUGUGACGGAAAUAAUUCUCUGUAACGGAACUCAAGGAAAUGCUGAGAAUGUCCUUACUUAAAAACUAAAAUGAUUAAAAUGACCAAAAUAUAUAAAUUUAAUAUGUGUUGGCACAUUAAAUUAAAGCUCAAAAUUAGAAAUUUUCAUAUUAUUAUUUAACAGUAUUUUAGCCAAGUUAAGGUUUUAGCAAUUAUAUUUGAGUCAAGUUAUGGUAGUUUUAUUAUUUAGAAAUUAGUAUUUUAUUAUGAAGGUUCUUAUAAUUGUAAAAUUUAUUUAUCAAAUCAUCUAGUCUACAAAUAGGAAAUCUUAUUAUUGUAUCUGUUGAGAAGAGUGAAAUUUGAUAGACUUAUACUUAUGGUGUGUAGUUAAUAUAUUAUUGUUGGUAUUAAUUCCUCUUCUCCUACACAUAUUCUUAUGUGUGUAAAUUGCCUUCCCAUUAUAUUGAUUUUAUGAAAUUUAUAACCUAUAACUUUUUGAUGGAAUUUUUUAGUUCUAUAUCUAGUAUCCGAGCUCUAGGUUUAAGAAAUUGAUCUUGGGGUGACUGUGAAUAUUGAAGAAUCUUCUCGGUUACAAGAUUAGUUGUGCUUGUUUUUUGCUAUCAUAAUUAGAGUAUAAGAAUUACUAAGGAUGGCAACAGGGCGGGUCCCCCGCCCCCCGCCCCGUUGCCUACAAAUUCACCCCGCUCCCGCCUCGUCCCCCGUCUCCCGCUCCCUCUGCCUUGUCCCCGCCCCACCCCGCUUCCCCCGCGGGUGCCCCCGAGAGACUAAUAAAAAUUUGUUAUAUAAUUUUAUUAUAAUUAAAUUUUAGUAAAUAAUCAAGUACUAAAAUAUCAACACAUCACCAAAUUAUUAUUCAUUGUAAUUUCACAAUUGAAAGUUAUAAAAAAAAUCAAACAAAAGUUAUUUGAAUACAAUCCAACAUAAUGAAAUAAAUACAACUAAAGUAGUCAAGUUUUCACUUUUAGCACAAAUACAAUCACUAUUUUAUUAUUGUGCUUAUGUUUUUUUUUGAGAAAAAAAUGUUAUUGUAUUAAGUGUAAUUAGGGAUUUAGUAUAAAUGUAUUAGUAAAUUUAGUAUAAUCGAUUAAUAAUUUGUAUUAGUACACAUAUAUAAUUAUUAGUAUAAUUGAUAAUGUCAAUUAUAUUACAUAUACUAAUAUACAUUAUAUAAUACAUAUAACUAAUAAUAUCAUUAUCAUAAGUUUGUAACUAAUUAAAUUAUAUAUUAUAUAUAUACAUAUAUAUAUUUUAUAUCUUAUUUUUUUAAAGCGGAUCGCGGGGUGGGGGAUGUACCCCCGCCCCGUUUCUAAGCUGGGAGGAAAAAAUCCCCCCCGCCCCAUUAGCCUCCCGCGGGGCGGGUGCCCCCAUUGCCAUCCUUAAGAAUUACUAUUGUGAAGAAGUAAGUUAAUUGACUAAGAUCACAAAGUUGGUCAUGGAGUAUCCAAUUGGUGAAUAUUGGAUCAUAAGAUUGAUCUAGAAGAAUUGUCAAAUUAAUUGUGAUUGUGAAGACAGAAAUUAGAGAAGAACCUUGUCAAUUAAAUUGUGUUUAUGAAAAUCACAAGAUGAGUUGUUAAUAAAUUGAUACCAAAUUGCAUGACAAAAACAGUCUAUCCAGGUGCGUGGAUUAUUGCAAUGAUAAAAGUGUUUGAAGAUGAAUAACUAGUACAAAGUAAUAUUGAUAUAAUUUGCAAAGGAAAUUAUUGUUUGUGGUGGUAGUAAGCUGAAUCUAAUAAAAGGCUUGAUUUAAGGGAGGCAAAGUUGACAUAUUAAAUCAAUGUUCAAAAAUAAAAAUUUUCAUAUUAUUAUAUAUCAAUAUUUUAGUCAAGGUUUUAGCACUUAUAUAUGAGUUAAGUUAUGAUAGUUUUAUUAUUUAUGAAUUAGUAUUUUAUUAGGAAGUUUCUUAUAAUUGUAAACUUGUUUAUUAAGUCAUCUAGUUUAUAAAUAGAGAGUCUUAUUAUUGUAUUAGUUAAGAAGAGUGAAAUUUGAUAGACUUGUUCUUAUGGUGCGUGGUUAAUAUAUUAUUGUUGGUAUUUAUUCCUCUUCUCAUACACAUAUUCUUAUGUGUUUAAAUUGCUUCCCCAUCAUAAUGAUUUUAUGAAAUUUAUCUCCUAUGAAUUUUUGAUGAAAUUUUUUAGUUCUAUAAUAUGCAUGACACUUUAAUUCCUUAUAGUUUUAUGUUUUACUACAUAACCUCCUUAUUGUUAUUGUUUUACCACAUAAUUUCUUAUGAUUUUCAAAAUAUAUACAUAACCUCCUUUUGGUUAAUUAAUAAUUUUCAACUUUACAAAGGGAUACUUUUGACAUUUUAGUUGACUCUAUUACAGAAUGCAAAUUCUGUGUUUUUGACACUUCAAUCUAAAUUAUAAGAGGGUUAUGUAGAGCUUUUGAAACUACGGGAGGGUUAUAUGAAAAAUUACUAAACCAUAGGGGGAUAGAAUGUAUUGUAGACACCAAAUUUUGAAUAAUUUGUAUGUAUCAUCUAUUUCAUGAUUUUCAUUUUAGAUUGCUUGCAUUUUAGUUCGUUAUUGUGUGUUUUGCACUAUUAGUUGUUAUGAUAUUUUAGUUUUAUUCAUUUUCGCCCUUUUAGUUGACCUAUUUCAUUUGCUUUUAUUCUUAUUUACUUUUAGUUUUAGUUUUUAGUUUUAGUUUUUAAGUUUAAGGUUAGCAUAGAGUUUUUAGAAAAGAAAAGAAAAACAUCAAAAAUAUGUUUUAGUCAUUUUUGUUUUUAUUCAAUGCUUUCUUGAAGGAAAAAUGAAAAUGAAAAAUCAUAAAAAAAAGAGAAAAGAGAAAAUUAAAGAAAAAGAGGAAAAAGAAGAAAAAUUCAAAAAAAUAGGCUUUAGUUGGCUUGGAAAAAUGGAAAGAAAGGAAAAGGAAAAUUUGUUCACAAAAAUAUGUUUAUUUCUUUAAAUUCAAUCUUUGGGCACUUUAGUUAUUUUUAUUAAGUUAUUUUGAGAAAAAGAAAAUGAUGAAAAAAUGAAAAUUAAAAAAUUAAAAAAUGGCCAUUUUUAUUUAGUCUUUUGUUUUUGUUACCUGGUUUGUGUAAUUUUGUUAUUAUUAUUAUUUAUAUUUUAUUUUAUCAUUUUUGUAAUUAUCAAGUUGUUUAAAAAAAAAAAAUUACCGCAGCAUGCACGCUGCAAUUUUUUGCAGCGUGCAAGGUACAACUUCAAUAGCCAUCGGAUGGCUGGAUGGAAAGGGAAGGACAAGCCUUCAUCCUCACCAUUGGGGUGAGGGUUUAGGAACCUUGGAGUUCCAUAUAAAAGGAACAAGAAGCAACAGCCGCAGGGAAAAAUAGAGAGCAACGGCGCAUGAAAAUCAAACAGCUAAGUGAAACUGGAAAAGGAGAGGAUACGGAAGAGAGGCUGACGGCUAAAAAACCAGAGAGAGCUGGAGUUGUGAGGGGGUGUGUAUGACGGGAAAAGGAGAAUCAGCAAAAGGAAGGUGAGCUUGGAGAGGCUUUGGACGGCUGGCCAAGGUGGAAGGAAACACCACCAGAAGCUCGUCAAAUCUGACCACAAACCAGCGCCUUCAUCGAUCUUGGAGCAUCAGCAACGAAGCUUGCGCCUUCCUUUCUUGACUCAGAACGACUUCCUGGGGCGUUGCACAUUCAUAUUACCCUUCUAAGGUAACCACGGAUCCUCCCUUUUGAUAGUCUUAACACCAUUCUUCAUGAGAGUUUAAAUCCACAAGAUAUGAAUCUAGCGUUAUUUGCUGGCUGUCAAUGUUUUUAUGGUCAUGGUUGUAACUUCAUCGUUCAGAUCUUCAUGACCAUUAGUUAAGUGCUGGUAUUUUCAAUCAUCUGAUGCAUUUUCGUUAGUUUCUGAUGGGUUUUGACGGAGGAAAUGAGAGGAUAAUGAUAAUAAUCUUGCAGUUAUGAAUCAAAAGCUUCGUUCUUUUUCCCUCCUAGUUUCCUGUCAAUGGCUCUCUUGGCAUGAAUUGCAUAACCUGGGCUGAUUGAAACAAUAUCAAAAGUUUUUUUGGGGAUUGCUGAAACUUUUGGUCUAUCUGAAGUUAGAAGUCUGCUGGUUGUUUGAUUGCUGUAUUGUGAAUAAAUUUGCCGCAAGUUUCUUUUUCUUCCUUUCCUGCAUUUCCACGGCUAGUAGCAUGCUUGGAUCCUCUGGGAAUAGCAAUCUGCUGGGGGUUUUGAAUGGGUUUUGAUCUGUUUGCUUUACCUUUCAUGAUGAUAAAUUGGCAAAUGGUUGCUUUGUGUUGGAGUUCAUGCGCAUAAAUGGUUGCUGUUUUGUUCAGCGUCGGAAAUUAAAAACCAGCAACCAGAAAUGUUGCAGUGAAAGUGAAUCAUAAGGAGAAAGCUAUAAGGCUUAGUGAUUCUAUUCUGGGGCUCAUGUCUGCAUGUUUAGAUGUCAAAUUUCAGUGGCCUUCCUAUCUAGAUUAGAGCUUUGAUGUUUAAUGGAAAAUUUGAUCAAAACUUUGAUGUUAAAUCUGAAGUUGUAACAGAUUUUCUUGUUAUAGAAAGCUUUUUCAUGCCUUUUUGCAGAAUAUCUCUUCAAAGUUUGCAUGUUCUUUGUUCUGAUUUUUAUGUUUGGAUCUAAAGUUUGUCUUGUAAGGUGGGAGGAUUAGAUGGUGUUCUUAUUGUUUGAGUUGGUAUCUUGUUAGCAAGCUGCAACCGAAUUUGUGCAGAAAGUUUGAGAAGCUGCUGAAACUUUGCUGCAGAAGCAUAUAUCUCGUAGUUUUUGCAUGCUUGUAUGGGAGUUAUUUUCAGAAUUACAUUUUUUGACCCCCUAAGUCUCCCUUUAAGCCACUAAGGCCCAGAAACUUUGAAAAUUUAAUCAAUUGGGUCCCUGAGAUUUUUGCAGCGAUGCAUUAAAGCCCAAGCAUGUUCUCAUUUCUUUACAAUUAGGUCCUAAGGUGGGUGUACUUUGAGUCAUCAUUUGGCCUUUCAUUGUUUUUGGGACUUUUGAAGCUCUUAAAUUUUUCAAUUGGUUUUAUCUGGUUGAUUAAUGGUUGCUAUUGAGUUUUCAAAAUGCAUGUUUAAAUCAUUCAUGAACCCUUGUUCAUUCUUGGACCUUCGAAAUUCCAUAAUGUUUGUUUGGAUCUUGUUAUUUACUUGGGAUACUUUUUGUGUUUUUAAAUGUUUCAAUUAGGUUCAAAUGAUUGAAUAGUGCUUGCUUUUGGGUCUUUAGUAGAUGUUAUGCUUGGGGAUUGGAUGAUCAUGCCUUUUGCCUUGGUCUUUAAGUAGUUUUGACUUCAUUGAGUUGCAAUUGAGGGAAAGUUUUGAUGUUUUGGUGGAUUCAAAUUGUUUAGUUUAUAUCUUAUCACUAAAUUGGUGCAUUAAUCUUUUGUUUUUGGUGAUUUUAGCCUAAGUUAGUCUUUGCUUGGGUGACUCUAGCCAAGUUGAGUUUGUUUACUUCCUUAGUAUCACCAACGGGGAGGUAUAAUCUCUUUUACCCCUUUUUGUUUCUCUCCUAUGUGGACUAAUGUGCUAAUUGAAAUUUGCAUGUCUACUUGCCUUCCUAGCCUCUCCUUAUUUCCUUUCAUUUAUUUCAUUUACUUUUGAUUUUUAUUAAUGGGGUAUGUGUACACCUCUUGGCUUGUAAUAGAUAGGGCGUAGCAAGUAAUUUGGUCCAUUUUCCCUUUCCCCUUUGUUUUAGUUAGCAAAUGUAAUGGUUGCAUGCCUAUGUGUUAUAUGUUAAAUGCUUUAUUAGGAUCUUGCAUCUAGUCGAGCAUGAUAAGUGCUACAUGAUUUAGGUGAUUUGCAUGUCUACUCGCUUUUUGUAGUAUAGAUGAAUAGAAUGGAUGAAUGUACGUCACCACACUAGUCCAACGCUAGUUGUGGCUUCUUUUAUCGUUUUCCACUAGUCCAACGCUAGUCGGAAUUCAUAGAAUGGGCUAGUCCAAUGCUAGACCCAAUAGGUUCUUUUUUUCCCUUUUUCAUUAAGUGCAUGAUCACCACAUAUCACGCAUUUUUCCUUAGUUUAUCAUUUGGUAUGUUCCUCAAACCCCAUCCCCUUCACUUUAGGACUUGCAUCUCAUGCUAGUUAGGGUACAUUUGCCUGAAGAGUCCCCUUCUGAUAAGGGAAACGAGCGAGUGUGGCUACUCGAUAGUCUUAGCACGCUAGUUUUGCCUUCUAAUCAAAGGGAAAAUCGAAGUCGAAAAAGUUAGGAGUCAUUCCCAUACCCGACCUGAUGCAUUCCUUUAGGUUCAUUCAUUCUCAAUUUUUCACUUACUCACUUUUUCAAUUCACAUUUCCUCAUCACUUUUCCUUUUCUUAUUGUUCAUUUUGAUUUCUACUUCACAAAAUUGCACUUAAUUACAGCUAUAUGCACUUAUCACUAUAUUUCAUACACUUGCACACAAACACUUGGAUUUUUCAUACAAUUUCACACAUGCACUUUUUCAUACACUUGCACACAAACACUUGGAUUUUUCAUACAAUUUCACACGUGCACCUUUUUAUACACUUGCACACUUGCACUUUAGCCAUCAUUUGCAUUAAUCGACCUCUAUAAGGUUUUCCUUUAUUGACCGCCACAAUUCAUGUGGUUGGGACAAAAAACCUUAUAAGAGACAUUUUAGAAUUUAGGUUUGCAUUUUUUCCUUCUUUUUUGCAUUCAUGUAGUGCAUCCAAAUGUAAUAAAUUCUUUGGUUAAAAUAAGAAAAAUUUUGGUUAAAUCACGCAACUAGCCUUUGGCUAGGUCGAAGGGGUGCCUUGGAUUUUUAUCCUUGCCUCCCCCUUCGUCAAAUGGACUCCCGAACCUUUUUUUUGUUUACGUGGACUAGGAGUCGUUUAAAAGGGGUUUCUUAUAACUUUUUCCUAAAAAAUUCAUUUUUAGGUGACUUGGUACACCUUAACUCAUUACCAAGUGGCGACUCCCAUUUUUUCAAAAACCCUUUUUAAACUAUAAUUUUGGGUCAAAUCGUCGCAUUUUCAAACCCCCAUUUAGACCCAUUUUUCUUUUAAAUCACAAUUCAUUUUCCAAUCAUAAAUUAAAUCAAAAUACAUUUUUAAACCAUUUUAUUUAUUUAUCAAAAAAUGGGGCGCGACAGUUGGCGACUCCACUGGGGACAUUCGAGAGUCCGAGCAAAUUUGAUUUAAUCAACCUUUUUCUUCUUUUAACCUUUUCAUAUAUCACAUUUGGGUGUUUUAGGGUUGCAUUUUUUCCUUUUUUAGGAUUUUGCAUCACUCGCGUCUCAACUUACUCCCUCGCUCACGAAUGUAUGAUUGGUUGAUUGGAUGUAUGUUUACUUACUUAUCUCGCGCUUGCAUUGCAUUUGGGGGGGUGUGUGUCACCUUUAGAGCCUCGCGUGGUUCUCAACCCCUUCCCUCAAAAUAGGGAGCACUUCAUACGUGCACGUUUACUUAUUGUUAUCCCAUUUUAUUUUAUUUUUCGUGGGCGUUUCCCACACCGCCUUGUAGGAUUAGGAUCGAUCGCCUUGGGUAGGCGGAUGGUGUGCGCUGCGCCCAUAGCGCUACCUAAGGGAUCACUCGAGCCACCGAUCGAAGGCCUUGGGAGUGAUGACCCUUUGCCUUUAGGUCUGAAGGCUUGGGAGCCGAAGCUUAUCGAGUCUAGUUGCAUUAGUGAGCCCCAGCCUCAUGCAUCCAUGUUAGACUCGCCUAGGGUAGAGUCGACCUUACCCUAUUAAGCACAUUAGGCACGAGGGAAGGGGUUCCACCCCUUUUACUUGUUUUUAUUUGUAUUUCUUUUCUUAAUUGCUCCCAAUGUGUUAUGUGUACUAUCAAUUGCACUAACCAUUCUUUUUGUUUUCUUGGCUUGCAUUCAUGUGCCUUAGCAAUAAGAGGCCUCUUUGGCACUCUUUUAGUGACUUACCCACUAGAUAGCUCACAUGUUUAAAUUUCAGUCAUUAUGCUUAAUUUUUAAUAAGUACAUUUCAUUUUAGACCUCUUCCCCCCGAUGCAUUAUUUAUGCCCUUUAGGCCAUAUUUGUUGCAUAUUUACAUUGCUUUAAUAAAUGGCAUCAUGCAUAAACCAUAGAAAGGGAAUGCCACAUAGGGAAUCCCGUGUUUAGGAAUAAGCCCCCUUGUGUCUCGGAUACUAUAAUCCAAUAGAGACUUGCACGUUUACAUUUUGUACCAUCCAAAGGGGUAGUGCACAAGGUAAGGUAGGAUCCAAUCAUUUUCAUAGAGUGAUUUUUGGAAUAUGAACGUCUAAUAAUCACUUUUUGGCCAUUUUAUCAAAAUUGGUAAAAAUCCCUUGCGUGAAGGACAUUAAUUUGAAGAAAUUCACAAAUGAUUCCUCCUAUUGAGACGAUAAAUAAAUUGAGGCCAAAAUUUGAUUUUUAGAAGGUCAUAGACUAAUGCACUUCAAUAAUUUUGAAAUAACCAAUGGCCGGACGAUUCAACCAAUCCAUUUUGCCGAUUCAUUCGAUAAAUCGUCAAUUCAUUUGACCAAUUUACCCUUUUUAGGGUCAUUUGACCAAUUUACCCUUUUUAGGGUCAUCCGGUCGAUUUUGAACAAAUCGUCAAUUCAUUUGACCAAUUUACCCUUUUUAGAGUCAUUCGGCCGAUUUUUGAAUAAAUCACUAAUUCAAUUUCAUUCAUUUGACCAAUUUACCCUUUUAGGGCGAUCUGGUCAAUUUUGAAUAAAUUCUUAAUUUCAUUCAAUUCAUUUGACCAAGUUCCUUUUUUUAGGAUGAUCCGGUCAAUUUUGAGUAAGUUAUCAAAUGUCACUCAAUUCAUUUGACCCGUUUCCCUUUUUAGGGUAAUCCGGUCGAUUUUUAAUAAAUUAUCAAUUUCAUUUGACCAAUUAGGAUUCCAAUGUCGAGUUUCAAAAUGGAAAACCUAGUUGAUUUUGAGGGAACCAUCCAUGGCAUCCAACCAUUUGAUCAGUUGGGGUUUUGACCCGUGAUUCACUGAAAAAUUUGGUCAACGAAUUCCAAUCUCUUCGAUAGGAAGUUCGUCAAGGUCAAACCCAUGCAUUUUUGCAAACUCUUGUAUCGAUCAAAAGUGAUCAAUCCAUUCGGACGUUGACCUUGUUUUGGCAUAUGUCUCUCGUCACUCCAGUUGACCAAAUUUUUCAAAAUUAUUUUUUCACUCAAUGAGUUGAUCGGAUCCAUCAGGUAUGGUAUAGUGCCUACCAUAGAGGAUUGCAUCCUCAUUCUAGGCCUACCCUUGGCACAAAAAGGGUUCCCCCAUAGGACAUGCAUCCGAAUUUUUUGGAUAUUUACUAACUCUUGUCUUUUUCUUUUCCUUUUCUUUAUUUUUCUUUGGAAUAACUAAGUGGGGGUUGAAUCUAAAGGCAAUCUUUUCAAAAAUUCUCAGGUAAUAUUUAAAUAUAGCUUCUCGUCGAAACCCCAUCAUAACACGAUCCCGUAUUCAAGCCCAGAGGAGUCGUGUAAACAUGAAUUCACAACCGGAACAAGCAGAUAGGGCUGCUAUUACCGCUCAACCCGAGACCAUGAGUUUGGGGGUUCAGUUGACUGAGAUGCUCACUAAGUUCGACAAGAUGACCACUGAGAUGGCGGCCCAAAGGAAAUUGAUUGACGAGCUAAUCAGCAGCGGAGUUCAACCUGAACCUAUACCCGUCAAGCAGGCUGAGCCAGAAUCGUUUGUCAUCCCUUCAACUCAAGUCACUGUUACUCCAUCAUUCCCUAUUCCACCCGAGGAAACUUUCGCCUAUCCCACCACAAAUUUGCCAUACGCUUACCCUCCUAAUCCUUCAUCUUUUCUUACUCGCAGGCAAGGCCCACAACCCCAAGCUAUUUCAAAUAUACCACCUGAGCCACAUACCUUUUAUUACCCUGCUGCUGAACCCUUCCUACCAGACCACACUGUUCAAACCAAGCCAGAAAUGGGGGAAUCUUUCGCUCCCAUUGGUAUGAAGCUGCUCAAGCGCCUUGACCGCUUUGAUGAGUUUAUGGGGAAAAGUCAGGGGUUGAACAAGCAAGGAGCUUUGGAUUACGAUGAGCUUUGCCUUUUUCCGAAUGUGCGGUUGCCUGAGAGGUUCAAAACCCCUAAAUUUAACAAGUAUGACAGGACGGGUAAUGUCCCUGCCCUCAAAUCGCAGUUGGAUGCUUUGCAAGGACAAGGGAGCUGUGGGAAAAAGCAACAAUUCCAAAAGGAAGAGGGGGAAAUCGUUUUUGUUUGUGAUCGAAACCGUGUCCCAAGCUGCAGGCCUAGACAACACCCUACCUACUCAAACUCCUACCCUUAUUAUUCAAACCCUCAUCCUGUUCAUCACACUAAUACCACUCAACCUCGACCUCGCUCUAAAUACACCAACUCGUCUAUAGCCCCUUUUCAAAUAUCUCAGCCUAACUUCCAACAAGUUCGACUCCGACCUCCCUACAAUCAACAGUUUUCUCCACCAAAUAGACAUACCUACAACUAUCCCCAACACACUAAAACCUACAAUCAAAGCCAUACCCGAACAUUCACCAACCUAGGCUGGCCUCUGGACCAAUUGUAUGAACAAUUAAAGGCUGCCGGUAGAAUUGGCAUAAUUCCCCCUCCAACUUACUCUCAUGGCGUCCCUGCCGGAUACAAUCCUCAGUACACUUGCGCCUAUCAUUCGGGAGCACCCGGCCACCCAACCACUGAUUGUAGAGCACUUAAGCAUAAAGUGCAAGACAUGAUCGAGGCAGGGGAAAUAGUGAUUAGAGAAGGGCCAGAACAAGGACCAAAUGUGGAUAAGAAUCCCCUGCCAGAAUACGAUAACACCAUUGGAGUUAUUAUGGACAAUACGGAAUUUAAGGAGCCUGCUAAAAAACUCAUCAAGUGAGGCUGAAGUGUUUGGGAAUGAUGCAGAAUUUCCCGAUAUCCCUGAGGGAUCAAUUUCCAAUUGGACAGCCGAAUUUCUACCCAUUCAGAAGGAGUUUCGGUAAACCUAAAGGGGGUUUGUCAUUCAUGCGAAUUCAUGAUGAAAAAAAAAAAAAAUUUUGCAUCUGUAAUUAACUAAUGAAAACAUCUUUACUUUUGACCAAAAUUUGCGCAUGUAAAUAUUUUUAAGUUUUCAUUUCAUUUCCGUUUGCUUUCAAUCAAAGGUUUUAUGAAAAUGAACAAGUCAUUCUUGUCAUGUUAUUUUGGGUUUAUUCGUUUGUUUAUAUUUCGGUCAUAUUGCUUGUUCAUUUGUUUGUUGUAUAUUUGUUUGCUUAUUAUUCUAAAUUCGUUAAUUCUUUCAAAUGGUCAAAGAUGAAAUUAUUUGACCAUUUGGAUAUCACUUUUCUGGAAUUCAAUAAUGGCAAUCUCUAUCUCACUCACGACUUGAAAAUUUUGGAACUCAGAUUUCAAAGCGAAGUGAUAAAGAGAAAGUAUUUGAUUCUUUUUCAAAAAUCUUGAACAAAAUGAGGAAAAAUUCGAACCAAACCUAGAAGCCAUAGCAAUUGUUCACAUUGGCACUGAGAAUGAGGUCAAAAGGACAUAAAUCAGCAUUCGUUUGGACAAAGGUAGAAAAGGAGAUGAUUAAGAGUUUGACUAUGUGUCGAGGUGUACAGAUGGUUGGAGGCAGUCUCGUUUGCAGUAGUAGAAAUUCUAUCUUUGCGCACUCUAAUGGGAGUUCGACCAAGGAGUGCCGUUUGUCAUGAAAUGUUACAAAAUGAAUGGCCUGAACCUACAACACGAAGUUUCAUCAGUGCACAUUUUGAGGAAGGGGGCAAAGCAUUCAACCGAACUUUGCCACUACAAGACGAAGGCAGAGGCAAAUAUGUUCCAAAUCAGAAAGGGCCGUUCAUUGUUCAAAAAGUAUUGCCUGGCGGAACACUUAUUUUGACAGAAAUGGACAGGCGAACAUUCCCUCGACCUAUCAACUCGGACAUGUGCAAGAAGAUUUUCGUUUGAUCAUGCAAAUUUUCCUUAGAAAUUCAUGCAAAUGACAAAAUGCAAGUCAGGCCCUCUUCUUUUACAUUUAAAGCAUUUUAUCCCUACUUGUCCCCUUUGAGCCAUCAGAAUUGACAAAUUUUCGUUUGACAGCCCCUAAGAUUUGCAAACCCCACACUGGAGCAAAUUCAUUUUGAAAAGAGAUGAUCAGAAAGAAAAGGAAAACUCCACACUGGGGCAAAUUUAUUUUGAAAAAGAGAUGAAAAAGAACCCCACACUGGGGCAAAUUUAGUUUUUAAAGAAAAAUGCAAAAGGUGAGGAAAAUGCAAUGAAGAAAAUGCAAAGAAAGAAAAUCCAAUCAAAUUGGGGCAAAUUCUCCUCAGUUUUGUUCAAAAUUUGGAGAUGAUCUCAAAAUGAUGCAAUCUCAGGUUAUUUCACACCUCUAAUCAAAGUUGCUUUCAAGCCUCAACUUUUCUUGAAAACACCCCACCUGACCUCAUUACAAAAACCCAAAGUCCUGGCUCUCGUCACUUGCUGUAUUUCUAUUAGGGAUUUUCGCUAAUCAAUUGGCAGGUGAUGUCCAUAAUGUUUUCGCCUAACCUCAUAAGGGAAGUGCAUUUUACUGAUGUCAGAAAUCUUUAACUCAUGUUUUUGAGUCAAUCAUGGUCAAGAUAGUUCAUUGUUCUUUAGGUGAAAACCCGAAAGGGCGCCUCGAAAAAGAAAAAGCAAGCAAAAAGCAAAAAGAAGGAAAAGAAAGAAAAAGAAAAGACAAAACAAAAAUAAAAAGGGUGGGGGCAACUUUGGUGAAAACUCGAGAGGGCGCCAAGGCAAUUUUUCUCGACAGACGAGCACGAGAAGGAACAGCUGGUGACCUGGUUCAUUUGGAUUUCUUCUCAUUUUUUGUCAUACUUCUGCCAAUAUUAAAUUCCAGAACAAAGAUAUCCAGAGGUUUGAAUAUGACAUCUGUUGGCCAAAAUUGUGUUGCUUUGUAAAAAUAUUCUUUUCCAAAUACAUAUUUUCUCAUGUGCUUGUAUUCAUGGCAUUUUGUAGGAUUAAGCAUAGUUGGAUGUGUUUUACAUUCUUUGACAUAUUCAUUCCAUGCAUAACAUAGGAAAUCAUCUUGCAUAUAUUUUGAUUUUUCGUGCAUCAUUCUUUUACCAUUGGAUUCGAAUGAAUGAUAAACCCUAAGGUUUGUGCAUGGAUAUGGGAUUCAAUCAUAUAUUAAAGUGAGUAAAAUACAACAAAACUGCUACAUGGAUUUGGUGACAUGGUAAAUGCGCACUUUAUUGGUCUCCAGAAUCGAAAGGGUUCAAAAUUACAAGGUCGACUAAGCCAGAGGUUACAGAACAGAAGCAAAAGCAUCAUAAGACUCAUGUUUACACGAUUCUCAAGGCAAACCGGAUCGAAUGAUGGUGGCAAGUCCAUUAUUUCUUCUUUUCUUGCAGGAACGUCGCAUUUGCAAACAAAAACAACCACACUUCGAAAAAGCUCCCCAGUAAACAAAGACGAAAUGAUAAUUUGGCAAAGGUUGGGUCAUAAGAAACAACAUCAGCUAUCAUUCUAGCCAUAGAGAUCUAAAUCUCCCUCUUGGUACAAAAGUUUGAACUACUCUCAGGUAAGAACUCAAUUCAUUGUUUAGAAUUUCCCCAGUGAAAUCCCAUUUACAUUUCUGUCUGGGUCUAUCCCAUUUACAUUUCUGUCCGGGUCUAUCCCGUGGGUCUAUCCCAAUUUUACAUUUCUGUCCGGGUCUAUCCCAAUUUUAAAUCUCUGUUCGGGUCUAUCCCGUGGGUCUAUCCCAAUUUUAAAUCUCUGUCCGGGUCUAUCCCGAAUUUAAAUUUCUGUUCGGGUCUAUCCCGUGGGUCUAUCCCAUUUAAAUUUCUGUUCGGGUCUAUCCCGUUUGCAUUUUCUGUUCGGGUCUAUCCCGAAUUUAAAUUUCUGUUCGGGUCUAUCUCGUGGGUCUAUCCCAAUUUUACAUUUCUGUCCGGGUCUAUCCCAAAUUUAAAUUUCUGUUCGGGUCUAUCCCGUGGGUCUAUCCCAAAUUUAAAUUUCUGUUCGGGUCUAUCCCGUGGGUCUGUCCAAAUUUUAAAUUUCUGUUCGGGUCUAUCCCGUGGGUCUAUCCCAAUUGGGUCUAUCCCCAUUUUUAAAUUUCUGUUUGGGUCUAUCCCUAUUUUUAAAUUUCUGUUCGGGUCUAUUCCGUGGGUCUAUCCCAAUUUUAAAUUUCUGUUCGGGUCUAUCCCGUGGAUCUAUCCCAAUUUUAAAUUUCCUGUUCGGGUCAGUCCCGUUUUAGAAUUCCUGUCCGUUCGGAUCAUUUUUGCAACCGAAUAACACAGGUAAGUAUUUGGUGUCUACUUCUUUGUCUCAAGUUUUUUCAAAACUCAGACAAAGAGGGGCAAACUGUAGACACCAAAUUUUGAAUAAUUUGUAUGUAUCAUCUAUUUCAUGAUUUUCAUUUUAGAUUGCUUGCAUUUUAGUUCGUUAUUGUGUGUUUUGCACUAUUAGUUGUUAUGAUAUUUUAGUUUUAUUCAUUUUCGCCCUUUUAGUUGACCUAUUUCAUUUGCUAUUUAUUCUUAUUUACUUUUAGUUUUAGUUUUUAGUUUUAGUUUUUAAGUUUAAGGUUAGCAUAGAGUUUUUAGAAAAGAAAAGAAAAACAUCAAAAAUAUGUUUUAGUCAUUUUUGUUUUUAUUCAAUGCUUUCUAGAAGGAAAAAUGAAAAUGAAAAAUCAUAAAAAAAAGAGAAAAGAGAAAAUUAAAGAAAAAAGAGGAAAAAGAAGAAAAAUUCAAAAAAAAAUAGGCUUUAGUUGGCUUGGAAAAAUGGAAAGAAAGGAAAAGGAAAAUUUGUUCACAAAAAUAUGUUUAUUUCUUUAAAUUCAAUCUUUGGGCACUUUAGUUAUUUUUAUUAAGUUAUUUUGAGAAAAAGAAAAUGAUGAAAAAAUUAAAAUUAAAAAAUUAAAAAAUGGCCAUUUUUAUUUAGUCUUCUGUUUUUGUUACCUGGUUUGUGUAAUUUUGUUAUUAUUAUUAUUUAUAUUUUAUUUUAUUUUAUCAUUUCUGUAAUUAUCAAGUUGUUUAAAAAAAAAAAUUACCGCAGCAUGCACGCUGCAAUUUUUUGCAGCGUGCAAGGUACAACUUCAAUAGCCAUCGGAUGGCUGGAUGGAAAGGGAAGGACAAGCCUUCAUCCUCACCAUUGGGGUGAGGGUUUAGGAACCUUGGAGUUCCAUAUAAAAGGAACAAGAAGCAACAGCCGCAGGGAAAAAUAGAGAGCAACGGCGCAUGAAAAUCAAACAGCUAAGUGAAACUGGAAAAGGAGAGGAUACGGAAGAGAGGCUGACGGCUAAAAAACCAGAGAGAGCUGGAGUUGUGAGGGGGUGUGUAUGACGGAAAAAGGAGAAUCAGCAAAAGGAAGGUGAGCUUAGAGAGGCUUUGGACGGCUGGCCAAGGUGGAAGGAAACACCACCAGAAGCUCGUCAAAUCUGACCACAAACCAGCGCCUUCAUCGAUCUUGGAGCAUCAGCAACGAAGCUUGCGCCUUCCUUUCUUGACUCAGAACGACUUCCUGGGGCGUUGCACAUUCAUAUUACCCUUCUAAGGUAACCACGGAUCCUCCCUUUUGAUAGUCUUAACACCAUUCUUCAUGAGAGUUUAAAUCCACAAGAUAUGAAUCUAGCGUUAUUUGCUGGCUGUCAAUGUUUUUAUGGUCAUGGUUGUAACUUCAUCGUUCAGAUCUUCAUGAACAUUAGUUAAGUGCUGGUAUUUUCAAUCAUCUGAUGCAUUUUCGUUAGUUUCUGAUGGGUUUUGACGGAGGAAAUGAGAGGAUAAUGAUAAUAAUCUUGCAGUUAUGAAUCAAAAGCUUCGUUCUUUUUCCCUCCUAGUUUCCUGUCAAUGGCUCUCUUGGCAUGAAUUGCAUAACCUGGGCUGAUUGAAACAAUAUCAAAAGUUUUUUUGGGGGUUGCUGAAACUUUUGGUCUAUCUGAAGUUAGAAGUCUGCUGGUUGUUUGAUUGCUGUAUUGUGAAUAAAUUUGCCGCAAGUUUCUUUUUCUUCCUUUCCUGCAUUUCCACGGCUAGUAGCAUGCUUGGAUCCUCUGGGAAUAGCAAUCUGCUGGGGGUUUUGAAUGGGUUUUGAUCUGUUUGCUUUACCUUUCAUGAUGAUAAAUUGGCAAAUGGUUGCUUUUUGUUGGAGUUCAUGCGCAUAAAUGGUUGCUGUUUUGUUCAGCGUCGGAAAUUAAAAACCAGCAACCAGAAAUGUUGCAGUGAAAGUGAAUCAUAAGGAGAAAGCUAUAAGGCUUAGUGAUUCUAUUCUGGGGCUCAUGUCUGCAUGUUUAGAUGUUAAAUUUCAGUGGCCUUCCUAUCUAGAUUAGAGCUUUGAUGUUUAAUGGAAAAUUUGAUCAAAACUUUGAUGUUAAAUCUGAAGUUGUAACAGAUUUUCUUGUUAUAGAAAGCUUUUUCAUGCCUUUUUGCAGAAUAUCUCUUCAAUGUUUGCAUGUUCUUUGUUCUGAUUUUUAUGUUUGGAUCUAAAGUUUGUCUUGUAAGGUGGGAGGAUUAGAUGGUGUUCUUAUUGUUUGAGUUGGUAUCUUGUUAGCAAGCUGCAACCGAAUUUGUGCAGAAAGUUUGAGAAGCUGCUGAAACUUUGCUGCAGAAGCAUAUAUCUCGUAGUUUUUGCAUGCUUGCAUGGGAGUUAUUUUCAGAAUUACAUUUUUUGACCCCCCAAGUCUCCCUUUAAGCCACUAAGGCCCAGAAACUUUGAAAAUUUAAUCAAUUGGGUCCCUGAGAUUUUUGCAGCGAUGCAUUAAAGCCCAAGCAUGUUCUCAUUUCUUUACAAUUAGGUCCUAAGGUGGGUGUACUUUGAGUCAUCAUUUGGCCUUUCAUUGUUUUUGGGACUUUUGAAGCUCUUAAAUUUUUCAAUUGGUUUUAUCUGGUUGAUUAAUGGUUGCUAUUGAGUUUUCAAAAUGCAUGUUUAAAUCAUUCAUGAACCCUUGUUCAUUCUUGGACCUUCGAAAUUCCAUAAUGUUUGUUUGGAUCUUGUUAUUUACUUGGGAUACUUUUUGUGUUUUUAAAUGUUUCAAUUAGGUUCAAAUGAUUGAAUAGUGCUUGCUUUUGGGUCUUUAGUAGAUGUUAUGCUUGGGGAUUGGAUGAUCAUGCCUUUUGCCUUGGUCUUUAAGUAGUUUUGACUUCAUUGAGUUGCAAUUGAGGGAAAGUUUUGAUGUUUUGGUGGAUUCAAAUUGUUUAGUUUAUAUCUUAUCACUAAAUUGGUGCAUUAAUCUUUUGUUUUUGGUGAUUUUAGCCUAAGUUAGUCUUUGUUUGGGUGACUCUAGCCAAGUUGAGUUUGUUUACUUCCUUAGUAUCACCAACGGGGAGGUAUAAUCUCUUUUACCCCUUUUUGUUUCUCUCCUAUGUGGACUAAUGUGCUAAUUGAAAUUUGCAUGUCUACUUGCCUUCCUAGCCUCUCCUUAUUUCCUUUCAUUUAUUUCAUUUACUUUUGAUUUUUAUUAAUGGGGUAUGUGUACACCUCUUGGCUUGUAAUAGAUAGGGCGUAGCAAGUAAUUUGGUCCAUUUUCCCUUUCCCCUUUGUUUUAGUUAGCAAAUGUAAUGGUUGCAUGCCUAUGUGUUAUAUGUUAAAUGCUUUAUUAGGAUCUUGCAUCUAGUCGAGCAUGAUAAGUGCUACAUGAUUUAGGUGAUUUGCAUGUCUACUCGCUUUUUGUAGUAUAGAUGAAUAGAAUGGAUGAAUGUACGUCACCACACUAGUCCAACGCUAGUUGUGGCUUCUUUUAUCGUUUCCACUAGUCCAACGCUAGUCGGAAUUCAUAGGAUGGGCUAGUCCAAUGCUAGACCCAAUAGGUUCUUUUUUCCCUUUUUCAUUAAGUGCAUGAUCACCACAUAUCACGCAUUUUUCCUUAGUUUAUCAUUUGGUAUGUUCCUCAAACCCCUUCCCCUUCACUUUAGGACUUGCAUCUCAUGCUAGUUAGGGUUCAUUUGCGUGAAAAUCCCCUUCUGAUAAGGGAAACGAGCGAGUGUGGCUACUCGAUAGCCUUAGCACGCUAGUUUUGCUUUCUAAUCAAAGGGAAAAUCGAAGUCGAAAAAGUUAGGAGUCAUUCCCAUACCCGACCUGAUGCAUUCCUUUAGGUUCAUUCAUUCUCAUUUAUCACUUACUCAUUUUUUUCAAUUCACAUUUCCUCAUCACUUUUCCUUUCCUUAUUGUUCAUUUUGAUUUCUACUUCACAAAAUUGCACUUAAUUACACCUAUAUGCACUUAUCACUAUAUUUCAUACACUUGGAUUUUUCAUACAAUUUCACACAUGCACUUUUUCAUACACUUGCACACAAACACUUGGAUUUUUCAUACAAUUUCUCACGUGCACCCUUUUAUACACUUGCACACUUGCACUUUAGCCAUCAUUUGCAUUAAUCGACCUCUAUAAGGUUUUCCUUUAUUGGCCGCCACAAUUCAUGUGGUUGGGACCAAAAACCUUACAAGAGACAUUUUAGAAUUUAGGUUUGCAUUUUUUCCUUCUUUUUUGCAUUCAUGUAGUGCAUCCAAAUGUAAUAAAUUCUUUGGUUAAAAUAAGAAAAAUUUUGGUUAAAUCACGCAACUAGCCUUUGGCUAGGUCGAAGGGGUGCCUUGGAUUUUUAUCCUUGCCUUCCCCUUCGUGAAAUGGACUCCCGAACCUUUUUUUUGUUUACGUGGACUAGGAGUCGUUUAAAAGGGGUUUCUUACAACUUUUUCCUAAAAAAUUCAUUUUUAGGUGACUUGGUACACCUUAACUCAUUACCAAGUGGCGACUCCCAUUUUUUCAAAAACCCUUUUUAAACUAUAAUUUUGGGUCAAAUCGUCGCAUUUUCAAACCCCCAUUUAGACCCAUUUUUCUUUUAAAUCACAAUUCAUUUUCCAAUCAUAAAUUAAAUCAAAAAUACAUUUUUAAACCAUUUUAUUUAUUUAUCAAAAAAUGGGGCGCGACAUGUAUUUUACUCUAAAUUUUUACUUCGCAGAAGAAGAAGCAUAACAAGCAUCCCAAUAAUCAAGAUAUACAAGCCAAAAAGCAUGCAAAAAAAAAAAAGUGAUGGAGAUGAUGAGAUACUAAAAAAAAGUAAUAGUAAGCAUUGUUUUAAAAAUCAGAUUAGAUCGGCCAAUUUGACUGAUAGGACUGCGAAUCAUUCAUAACUCCGGUUCGGUUCAUACUUUGGAUUGACUGAACUUAGAAACUAGUAAGAACUUUUCAAACCAUCUGAAUCGAAUUGAAUCGUUUAAUUGGCGGAUUUUUUUUAAUUUUGUCUAUUAAAUUGAAAAAAAUAAAAAAGAAUAGGUUUUCUUCAAAUUUAAAGACUAAUUAUUAAAUGCCACAUCCACUCACUUUCUUCUCAUUUUUUUGCCUUUUUAUCAAUUUUUCAUGUCUAUUUUCUAUUUUCCUAACUUCCUCCAAACUCCAAUUUUUUUUUAAGUUAUAAUCUCUAAAUUCCAAAAAUGUGAAUUAAAAUUUAAAUUUACAAUAUCUAAUUCCCAUAGAUGUGAAUUUUUUAUAAUUUCAUAAUAUUGUGAUAUUUUUGGGUUAGAUUUAAGAUCAUUUUUUUGGUAGAUACAAUUGAGAUUGAGAUGACAUUAUUUGUUUCAACUUAUAAUUUUAAAAAUUUAUUUAUGAAAAUCCAAGUUCUUUGGAAAUAUUAAACUUUUCAUCAUAUAAAGUAUUAAAUUAGUCCAUUGCAUGUGUUAUUUUGUGCAUAUAUAUUUAUAUAAAUUAUUUUUAAAAAAAAAUUUCCUUUAAACAUUGAAAACAAUGUGCACUUUAAAUGUUAUGGGGACUUCAAAUUAUAUGAUGAUAUAUGAUGGGGACUUCAAAUUAUACGAUGAUAUAUGAUUGAUUUUAUGUUGGAGAUGUAUGGACUUGUUAUUAGAAAUGUGAUUGUGGUUUGAAGUUAUUGAAAAUUGAGUUUGCUAGUGGGGAGUUUCGCCCAUUUAUAAUGGGAGACUUUGCCAAAAUUUUUUGAAAAUCUUGUCCAAAAUUAUAAAAUUGCCCCAUAUUUUUUCAAAAUGUUUCAAUUUGGUCCAAUAGGGAGCAAGUUCCAUACCAUUAGUGAUUCAAAUUCUCUUAUUUUGAAGUAAAUAUAUGUGCCUUGAAAAAUUCAUUCCAAAAUUAACUUGAAAAUAACUAUUAUGUGAUUAAGAUUUUGCUUUUAGAAAAUUAUAUCUUAUAAAGUGGAGGAAUUUAUGCUUAAAAUUUGCAAAGUUUAAUGAAAUUUCUUUUUGUUACUUGAUUUUACAAAGUUGAGUGAUAAAUGUGGUCAUUAAUGUACUCUUCUUAUGAUUAUGAAUUUGUUGAGAGGGAGGUGUUUGUUUGGUAGAAAAUAAGGGAGAAAAGGCAAAAAAAAAAAAAGGAGAAAAAAAGGAAAGAAGAAGAGAAUAAGAGUGGUCUACUCCAAUGAUUCUUGUACUUAGUAAUUGAGAGUUCUCAUCUAAAAAUUUCAAUUUUCAUGCAAAACAGUAUUUGAAUUAAGAGUAUGCAUAACAACUUAACUAUGCAAAGUGUUGAGUAAUCGGGAAUGUUCAUUUAAAAAUGCCAAUCUUCACAUCAAAAGGCACUUUCACAAGUUAAGUAAGUAUUUGUUAAGCAUAUGAAUAAUUCUCUCUUUGAAUUUGAGAAAAAAGAUGAUCAUGGGAUUAGGAAGUUAUUUAUUGACUAUAUGAUUCACUUGUUUGUGAAAUUGUGAUUGGAGGAGAAAUUGAGUUGAACUUAUUGAAAUCACGGUAUAGCUAUCUCUUAUUUACUUAAUAUUAUGAGUACUUGAGGAAGAAUGAACGAUUACAUAAUAGUUAUUUACUUAAGUUUUGAGGAAUUGAAUUUCAAGGUUGCAUGCAUGUUAUUUCAAACUUUUGGAUCAUUGACGACUUGUAUUUCUUAUUGCUCGAGGACAACCAGUGAUUCAAAUAUGGGGAAAUUUGAAGAGUGUUUUAUUUUACUUAUUUUUAGUGUGUUUUAUUACUUAACUUUUCGUGUGUUUUUAGGAUAAAAGGAUGAAAAUUGGCUCCUUUAAACAAUUGUUUCUUCAAGUUGUUAAUUUAGCUACAAUUUGCAUUUGACCAAAUUAACAUACAAGAUUGUUUGGGUCUUGUAGGUAUUGGUAUUUCAGAGAUUGAUUUGAAUCAAGUGAAGUUGAAGAAAUGCAUUAGAGGAGAUUUGGAGAUGAUUUGGUCUUGAAAUCAGGCUAAACUUGAAGAAAUUCAGAAACAAGAACCUCAAUGAAGAAAACAUGGAACAUGCCUCAUAUAGAUCUCAUUCUAAGUUCCAAAUUCAAUAGUUUGAGGAAAAACAUGAAUAUGAAAUGUGAGCCAUACCUCAUGGAUCUCUGAAGCUUGCAUUUCAACUUCAUAAGAAGUAGGGGAAUCGAUCUGUAAGGUGCAUAUCGCAGAUCCAGGUCACGGAUCUCUGUUGUGGCUAUGCAAAUUUCUUUGUAACUUGUAGAUUUUUAACACAACUUUUCAGCUUAUUUUCCAGCACAAAUUUCGGAUUGUGAGGAUCUCAAAAUUGCAUUAAUUUCUGAAAAUUAAAAUCAAAAUAUUAUUUAAAUGUUGAAAUUAUUAAAUAAUAUGUAUUUAUAUUUAAUAAUGCAUAUUUAUAUUAUUAAUGAUGUUUUCACUUAUAUAAAUGUUAUAUUUUAAAUUACAUGAAUUUUUUAAAAAAUUUAUUUGACGGUUCGCGUUCGGCCACGCAUUAGGGUGAAUAUUUGCGCACCGACGCGCAAUGUAGCCCUAAAUUAAAAUGUAGGGUAUAGAGGUUAUAAAAAUGUACAACUAAGCUGAGGAAAUGUUAUAUGGGGAAUUCCUACCAGUAGAUAAAAUUCUCGCGCGUAAACGCGAUUCAAUUCAAAAUUUCCCCACCCUUAAUGGCAGGCCCAAAAGUCAACAAACCUAUACCUUUAGCUUACCUUCAUUUUCAACCCAUCUUAUCCCAACUUUCACAUUCAUAUCUUCCCUCCAAAUUCUGAUCUUCGGGUGCAAGAAAGAAACAGGAGACGCUGCUUUUCCAUAGCUUCCACCGAUCCUCCAUCUUCACCAACCUUCAACUCCUACCUUCACCUUCCAUUUCCAGCAUCAACCUUCACUCUUUACUGCUGCCUCGAUCGAGCAAGAGGAAGGAGAAGAUCGUUGUUGUUGCUGCUACUCUCGCUGCUCCUGCCGCUGCUACUACUACUGGGUUGUUCGGACCAGGGUGAAGGAGAAAAACCAGCUUCCUUUUUUUCUUCCUUCCACCAACCAUAGAACCACCCCAAGCUCACCAAAAACCCUAGAACCCUAGCCCUCUUCAUCUUCGGUCGCUGCUGUGCUGCUACGGUGACAGGUCAGACAAGCGGGAAAAAAAAAAACAGAGUGCAAGGGUGCCGACUAACUUCUUUGAUUCUAGGAGCAAACUUGGGGAACUAGGCACUUUAUUUAGCUAGUAAACAACCACCUGAAGGUAACCCGAAAACUUCCGCCUAGCACUUAGCAGGAUUUCAGAUUUUUGCAGCUUUUUGGUUCUUGAAAUUUUAGCUUGCGUUGGUGAAACUUGUUGGGUUGCUGAUCCUCUAAGCUAAUGAUUGAUGAAGCUAGAGGUGUUUUAUGUGUUUAUAUGUGUGUUUUGUGGUGGUUAAAUGUUGGGGAAAUUUUUAAGAAUGAAAAUGGGGUGCUGGCCGGAUGAGGGAGCAAUUUUCCAGCUUUGUUACUGGUUGUUGUUUUGCAAUUUUUGCUUAGGUAAUGAACUGGAUUGCUUGUUGGGAGGAUAGACUAAUUAGUUGUGAUUGUUAUGGACUUAAAGUAUGAGUUAUAAGUUAAGAAUGGUUGAGCAAAAAGAGGAGCAAAUUUCUGCUCUGCUAUAGCCGCACAAACAGGCUUGAUUUUCUUCCAUUUUUUUUACCCGAAUUUUUGAGCUGGAUUUUGUGAAGUUAUUGAGCUAUUUAAAUCAUGUAUAUGUUCACCUAUAUGUGUAGAGUAGUUUUGGUGAAAAUGCAGCUUUGGUACAAUGGGAAAUUUCAUUGAAAAAUCAAAGAGAAAAAUACCCAUUGAGCUGUCCGAAAAAAAAAAACUCUGGAAAUUUCCAGAUUUUUGGGCGAAUUUUGGGGUUUGGUUUUGACAAGUUUUGAACUAUUUGAGCUGUACACAUGUUAACCUAUGUGUGAAGUAUUGUUUGGGUAAAAAUGUAGCUUUUGAGUAGUUGAAAAAUUUGGACAAAUUGAAGAGAAAAUGGACUGCUUGUACCGAAUGCACUUGGAAAUUUGUCCAGCUUUGCAUGAGACAUGUUGAAUGAUUUUCACGUUAACAUGAAUCCAAUUUGACUUAUGUUUAGUUAAGGGGUGUGUAUAGCUCUAUUUGGGACAAAACAUUAGUAGAGUUUACGUCCAAAAAGUGGACCAAAAUUUUAUUCUUCACGAGGCUACCCAAAACAGAAAUUUGUUUGAAAUUAGAAAUGAUUUUGACGUUUGGAUUUCGUUUUGAUUAAAUGUGGACUAAAUUUGUCCCGAAAAUGUUUUCUAGCAUUAACCUUUGUUAUUAGGUCCACUUUGAGUCAAUAACCUUGAAUUUUAUUAGACCAAAUGCCCUAUUUAGAGAAAUAUGCCAAAUUUGGAAAUUUUCUUGAAAACUCAAGUUUUUAUCUUCAUGAAAAUUCUUGAACCAAGUUGGUCAAUGGAAUUUGGCAAACUUAAGGAGUUUCUAUUUUAUAGAAAUUCCAACGACUAGUUUUACUUGGUUUAUAUGAUUUCCUCUUAAAGGAAUUUCCCAAGAUAUUUUUAGGAAAAAUUAGAAGGGAAAAUUCCUUUAAAUGGUUAAAUGUAAUUUUUCUCAACUUGUGACACCAAAGUGGUGUUAAUUGCUUAUAUGGCUCUCGAACUUGAUUAUUGGAAUAUUUGACGAAUUUAGCAACUUUUUGGUUUUAAAGAAAUCUCAAAAUUUAAUUUCACUCGAAAUUUGUGGAUUUCACUUUGAGAGAACGAUUAAUGCUAGUUUGGGAUUUUUGAGUGAAAUUAAAUGCUAGUUGACUCGAGUUAAAUUCGCCAACUCAAAAGUGGAAAUUUAUGUGAAUUAUUUGUAUGAUUUUAGGAGUUGGUGAAGAGCACAAUUUCGAUCAAAGUUUGGAAUUCUAGACUCUUCACUUGAGGUGAGUGUCUCUUGCAUGAAUCGUGUUUAACUGCUAGUUGAACUACUUGUUAAAAGUACUUGCUAGAGAUAUCAUGAAAUGUUAUAUGCUAUGUGAUUGCGUGAAAUGCCACAAGUACAAGUGUUUUGCAAGGUCGAUUGGAGCGUGGUCUCAUCAACUAAAUAAACCAAACGGAUGCACGUACCACACUCUAUUAGAGUGGGAGGUACCUCUCUGUCGUCUUGGUAAAAGUGCUUGCAAAAUUCGUGUUGGAGUCGGGCCCGAAAAUAAGGGGGAAGUCGUUGCUAGGAGACGUGUAGAUUAGGAAAAAUGUCUACAUGGAGAUUAGGUAGUGAAAGUCGAUGGAGUGUCAACUACUAUAAAUUACCUGAUCAAGCGUGAGGACUUUGGCUCCUGAGAGCCCCGUAUCCUUUUCUUGUCAUGUUAUUUCGUUUUCCUAAAUUGUUAAUUGCUUACUUGUCCAUUUGUACUUGUUAAAUUGCUCUAUGUGAAUUGCAUGUUACGAGGUACCACUGAGCUAUUGGCUCAUCCCUUCCAAUUUGUUUUCCUUGACAGGUUCUGAAAUGCAUGGAGUCUUGGAGAACUAGAAAAGAAAUAUUAUAUUUUGAAUUCCCACUUUUGUAAUUGUACUUUAGGAGAUACUUUAAUAUCUUUUGGAUGAUUGUUUUUGUGCCUUUGGGAAAAUGUGAAUCCUGUGGUGCUUCUGUGCCCUGGAUUAGGAACUGUAAAUUGUAAAUUAAGUAUUUUAAACUCGACGUUUUCGUGGGUACUUGGAAUUGUAUUUUUGGGCUAUAUAAGUUGAAUUGUAUGAUUUAUUUAAAUACUUAGCUUGCUCGAGAAGUAAGGUUUAUUUUCGAUUUAUGUUUGGUGAAAUUAGUUGUUAGAGUGAGUGAGCCUUGGCUAGAAUUAGGUAGGCGAUCCGCCAACCCUUUGGUUCGCCUUAGGGGGAUGUGGGGCCGCCACAGGUGGUAUCAGAGCAUUAGGUUAGAAUGUAUUUGGGAGAAUUGUUAGGUAUUUUAUUCCUAGGAAUAGGAAUGAGAUGCUUAGGUGUCCUUAAGUGUAAUUGAUUAGGUUAAUGGUGCUAAGGUCUAACUUUAAAAGUUUUGACUGUUUUGUAGGUAUGGAGAACCCUAACGGGAAUGGACAUGCUGCUAAUGGUAACGGGCACGUGAAUGGUCACGCGCCGCCUCUUAGGUCUAUUUCUUACCGAGUUCUGGGUGAUGGAGCUCACCUCCCGUACUC